AAAAAAAAAAAAAAAAAAAGAGGUAAAGAAAACCGUAUAAGAGGACAGAAAAAUAUGAAAUAAGGUAAAAAAUCUUGUCUGGACUUUCAACCCGAUUCAAGAGAAAAAAUGGCAUUUUCUUGUUGUCUUACUAUCUGUUUUUUUGCAAAAGUUGGAUUCCUAGUUGAGGGUGAAUUGGUUUCUGAUUUAUUUUAUUUCCUUUUCCUAUUUUCAAUAGUUUAUACACCAAAGGAAUAACCUGUAUAUGAAGUGUGGAAGUCGGACUUGUGGCUAGGGAAGGCUGAAAUGCCUUUAUAAGUAUUUCCAGCUCCCGUAAUGGGUGAAUAAUGUGGCUUGCCACCAGUUGUCUCCCUUUAAAAAAAAAAUAUAACCUGUAUAUGAACUUUAAAUGUGGAAAAUCACAGUAGAGAGAAGAGAGAGACACUAAGAUAAAGAGAGUUUAACAACUAGGGUUUAGCAGAAGGACUAAAGAAGUGGAAGUAUCUUGUUGUAAGCAAAUUACGCAACUAGGGUUUACCAACAUCAAAUAGUAUCGACAUGUUAUUGACACAUUUGUAAUACGCGCAUCCGUUCUUUGGUCUCAAUAACUUCUGAAUUUGCAUUGUUGUUUAACUGUAGGCCUUCUUAACUAUAGAUUAAGAAUGUGAUUAGCUCCGGCUAAUUGCUAUCCAAACCCCAACCGUGGAGUGUACAUUCACCAACCAACAGUGAAGUCCACUGCCUAAUUUCCUAUGAUUAAAAGACUGUAUUACAUAAGGAUUACAACGUGUAUUUAUGCUAAGCUUGUCACAACCCUAAACCCUAUUCUGCUACUCAUCAACCAUGCAUGAACCACAUAUUAAAAAACUUAAACCCCAACUUUAUUAAAAGAAAGUACAUUAUUGAUCGAGACUAAUUGUACAUUAUAAUUAGAGUGCUGACAGUUGGCUAAUCUUGGUUCCUCACCAAAAUUAGUAAACUGCAUUUUUUAUUCCGAUCCCUUGACAUUAUGAGAGAGCUAUCGUUAUCAAUGUACGUACAUGUCAUUUGAUUUUUGGCAACUAUCUAUCUAUAUAUGUAUAUUUAGUCCUAAUUUAUCAUUGAUACAGAUGAAUAUUACGGAUUGAGAUCAUCUCUGGACCUCAAACCUAGAGGCAACCGACCUAGUAAUAUAUAUCAUGAGAGAGAGAGAGAGAGAGAGAGAGAUGAGGGCGCGUGGUUCUAUAUGUGAGUUUGACUAAUGAAACGGAAUUAGUAGAAACCGCAAAAUUUAAAUUGAAUGUUCCAAAUUACUGAAUCCGUUAGCUUCUGAGUUUGAGAUCCGGAGAUGAUCUCAAUCCGAAAAUUACUUCUUUUGGCUCUCCUCCUCCCAUGAAUUAUGGAUAUGCAACCAGGUAGGGUCGAUGAGUAGAUGCUAGCAAUCUAUCACUUACUCACAUCAUCCCUCUGUAUACCACCAUUACAAUUUCCCACCCAAAAUAUUCAAUUAAAAUCCUAUACAUUAUUACAAAUAACAAGAAAUAAUUUUCGCACUCUCGUUUUUUAUGUUCUACUUGACAUCAUAUUAAAGAAAAAUUAGAAGACAAAAACAAAAGAAAGAAUCUUGAAGGAGCGAACGGUAGUGUGGAUAUCGCUAUACGAUAUGCAUGACCUAAGGUAUGGAUGUGCAUCAAUAUUAUAUUGAUAUCAUCAAAAUGAGAGUGAUCUUAACGCUUUAUUUUUCACCUUCUGCAUUACCGUUGAUACAUUCUAUUAGUUAUAAUAAUAUCAACAUGAUGUCAAUGACAUAUACAUCAAUAAUUUCUUCUUUAACAAAAUAGCAGACGCUCAUUUCAUAGCCAGAUUUUACAUGUAAUAUGACUUUUAUAUCUUCAUAGUUUUUUUUUUCAUUCAUUUUAGCAAUACAUCUUCGUAGUUGUGAUGCGACAGACAUUACUUGUUGUGUACUCACUUAUCAGUAAAUAUAUACCAGGUAAUGUUAAGAAGAUCAAAUUUGGAGAUUAAAUUUGCAAACUAAAUGAUAUGUCACCAAUAAGAAUAAGCACGUUCAUCAACGUAAACUUACCAUCAACUUUUAUGUCAUUUAAUUUUCAAAUAUUUGUUUACAAAUUUAAUCUUCAUAGCAUUACUCACAUGCAUACAGUAUUUAUCAACUUUUUCCCUUUUUCCCGCGCUUUAAGUCUCCCCACCUUUCCCUCACCUCCUCUCUCUCCUCCACUCCUCCGCCCUUCUCUUUCAAACCCCUUUCAUUCCCUCAUCCCCACAAAACAAACCCCAAGUUUUAUGCCUCCAACCAACAAUUUGAACUCUCUUUACUCACCGAUCGUCUGAUUUUUCAUUAUUUGCAAAUGGACACCACCAUGAGACCAAAACAGAGCAGAUUAUCAAGAACUUUCAGCAAAGUCAUCAACCUCCGAACGGCGACGAGAGGAAUCGCUUCCAACAAUGGCAUUUGCAUCCUCGUGUCGAACGGAAAAGUCAAGGACGGUUUCGAAAAGCGGAAGGAUUCGGACAAGGAGGAAGAAUUCAAGGUCCGGAAUAGGGCAAUGUUGGAAGCACUUCUGGCCAAGCUCUUCGCCGGAAUCACUUCCAUAAAAGCAGCUUACGCAGAGCUCCAAAUGGCGCAGGAUCCGUACAACAACGAAGCGAUUCAGACGGCCGACCAGUCCGUGGUGAACGAGCUGAAAUCGAUAUCGGAAUUGAAACGCAGCUUUUUGAAAAAGGAGCUCGAUCUCUCGCCGCAAGUCACUAUGAUGCUCGCGGAGAUUCAGGAACAGCAGGCCCUGAUGAAAACGUACGAGAUUUCGAUCAAGAAAUUGGAGUCCGAAUCCGGAAAGAAGGAUUCCGACAUUUCGUCCCUACAGAAAAAGCUUCAAGAUUUGGUCUUGUCGAACAAGUGCUUGGAGAUAAAGCUAAACGCCAGCGGAUCUCCGUCUCUCUCCGUUUUCGACAACCUUCGGCUUUCGGAGCUGAAUCCCACGCAUUUCGUUCAAUUCCAGCAGCAGACUCUGAGAUCCAUCAAAAGCUUUGUGAGAUUGAUCCAGGAAAUGGAAUCCGCCAACUGGGAUCUCUCCACAGCCGUCGGAUUCAUCGAACCCGGCUCUGUUUUCGCAAAACAGAGCCAUCGAUGCUUCGCAUUCGAAUCCUUCGUUUCCAAAACAUUGCUUGAAGGCUUCAACAAUCCAAACUUCGGCCUACCCAGUGAUUCUUUAUCCCCAGUCAACAAAACCGAACUUUUGUUUUUCCAGAAAUUCAAGAAACUCGUAACCGAAAACACGAAAAAUUUCCUCACCCAGAACCCGAGUUCUUCGUUUUGCAAGUUCACGAAAGCGAAGUACCUCCAGCUCGUUCACGCAAAGAUGGAGUGUUCGCUUUUUGGGAAUUUGAAUAUGAGGAAAGUCGUCAGCUCCGGUGGAGUGCCAGACUCUGCUUUUUUCGCGGCGUUUGCAGAGGCGGCGAUGCGGGUUUGGCUUCUGCAUUGCUUGGCGUUCUCGUUUGGCCAGCAAGUUUCAAUCUUUCAGGUGAAGAAAGGGUCGAGAUUUUCGGAGGUGUUCAUGGAGUCUGUGACUGCCAAAGAUGUCGAGACGGAGCCGUCGGUGAGUUUCACGGUUGUUCCCGGGUUUAAGAUUGGCAAGACGGUGGUGCAGAGCCAGGUUUACUUGUCUCCGGUGACUUCUCCGGCGGGAAUUUAAGAUCGGAUGGUGAUAGGAAAUGUAAAUAAUGCAUCAGAGCCGUUGGAUGUGGUGUGGGGCUAAAGUGGCAGGUGUAGUGUAGGUGGUAGUAUAAAGGUAUAUACUAUUAGUACAAUUGUUUUCCUUGCUAUAUAUCAUUAACAUGGACUCAAUUUUCACUAUGAAAGGUGCGGCAUGAAUAAUUUAUUUUCAAUAUCUCGAAUCAACUACGCACUAUUACACGAGAAACUGAAACUAGGUCAGUAUUUGGAGUCAAUUAAACAUUAUUAUGUAAGAAAGUUAAAAUGCAAUGCAUGAUUGACUUAAAAUACUGAUAUAUUGUUGUAGCUACAUGAACUAAUUGUGUUAUGUUUCUUUGAGCGUAUAGUAGAGAAAUAGUCGCAUAUCUCAUGUUUACUUCUUUUUCAUUCUGUCUAAUCAUAUGACGAAAAAAGAUAAAGAAAAGGAGUGACGGAAGAGAUAAGGGAAAGGAGGUACACAAUCCGGGGAUAUCAGAUAUGUGAGUCUGUUAUAUAAAGGUAUAUACAAUUAGUGCGAGUGGGGAAAUAGGAGCAGCAGCAAUGGCAGAAGAUAUGAUCGGGAUUGGAAUCAUAUUAAUGGAUGAGAGAGAGAGAGAGAGAGACAGAGAGACAGAGAGAGAGUCAUUGAUUCGUUGGCUAAACCAAAUUAUCAACCGCUCACAAUCUCAUUGUAAAAGACUUGUAAGCCGUUGAUGCAUUCUGUAAACCGUCAAUUAUUCACACGUGUGUGGACGAUUAAUACCAACAAAAGUAGGCCUAAUAUAUACAUUGGCGUAUAGGACUUUAGAAACGACCUUUAAUUUUACACAAUUAUAAGCAACUGGUUAGGGUAACUCCGCCUAUGUCUUACAUGGCCGGUCCCAAGCCCGGAUAAAGGAGGAGGGGGAGGGCGUCAGGUAGUCGACAGCCGGCACUCCAUGAUCACGUCGAAUCCUUAUGAAAAUGAAUCCAGAACAAAAUCGCGCUAAAGCUAGGGCGUCACCCGUAAGUGGCGCGCUGUGUGGCCCGAGCACAGUGAUAAGUGAGCAAGGGUCGCUGUAUCUCCAUCGGCACCCGGAUGCAGUGUUAAAUGAGCAAGGGGGCCAUAGAAACUUCUUUUCGAACGACUCCACUCAAAGUUGUUUGGGAGCAUAUGCUCCUAUCAACUUUACCCGGGACACACAAAAGAAGUACUUUGAUCCUAUUAGACGGGGGAGGGUGAAGAAGCUAGGACAGAAGGGUAGAGUUCAAGAGAGCAAAAUGCGUUUAGGAACGUGGAAUAUAGGAACCUUAACGGGAAAAUCUAUGGAAGUAGUGGAAGUUAUGGUGAGGAGAAGGAUAAAUAUUAUGUGCCUACAAGAAACUAAGUGGGUUGGUAGUAAGGCAAAGGAUCUAGAAAACUCAGGGUUUAAACUUUGGUAUUCGGGCACAAAUAGAACGAGAAACGGUGUCGGCAUCAUCGUGGACAAGACCUUGGUACAAGAUGUUGUAGAUGUCAAGAGGGUAGGAGAUAGAAUCAUGGCAAUCAAGAUUGUAAUAGGACAAGAACUUAUCAAUGUGAUUAGUGCGUACGCACCUCAAGUAGGGUUGGAUACGAGUUCGAAGGAGAAAUUUUGGGAAGAUCUUGGAGACUUGGUGCAAGGAAUUGCUCAGACGGAGAAGUUAUUUAUAGGAGGAGAUUUAAAUGGACACGUGGGCAGGGAGACAGGCAACUAUGGAGGUUUUCAUGGUGGCCAUGGUUUUGGGGAGAGAAACGAGGAUGGGGAAGCUAUCUUGGAUUUUGCAAUGGCAUAUGAUCUCUCUUCUUAGCCAACACCUUCUUUAAGAAGAGAGAAGAACAUGUGAUCACCUACAAGAGUGGGUCGUCAAAAACAAAAAUAUAGAUUUUCUUCUAAUGAGGAAAGGGGAUCGUAUAACUUGUAAGGAUUGCAAAGUUAUACCAGGAGAGAGCGUGGCUAAUCAACAUCGCUUGUUGGUGAUGGAUGUACAUAUCAAAAGAGUAAGACAAAAGAACAAGACUUGGAAGUGCCCAAGGACUAGAUGGUGGAAUCUAAAAGAAGAAAAACAAGUCAUUUUCAAAGAGAAGGUAAUCACCCAAUGUGUGUGGGAUAGAGAGGGGGAAGCUAGCCAAAUGUGGGAUUCCAUGGCUAGUUGUAUCCGAAAAGUAGCAAAAGAGGUAUUAGGAGAGUCCAAGGGCUUUGCCCCCACACCAAAAGGAAUCUUGGUGGUGGAAUGAGGAGGUACAAACAAAGGUGAAGGCUAAGAAGGAAUGUUUGUAAAGCCUUAUACAAGGAGAGGACCGAUGAAAAUGGUGAAAGGUAUAGAAAAGCGAAGCAAGAGGCGAAGAAAGCUGUCAGAGAAGCUAAGUUAGCGGCUUACGACGAUAUGUAUAAACGACUAGAUACCAAAGAAGGAGAGUUGGAUAUCUAUAAACUAUCUAGAGCAAGGGAAAAGAAGACAAGGGACCUAAACCAAGUGAGGUGCAUCAAGGAUGAGGAUGGAAAGGUUCUUGCUACAGAGAACGCGGUUAAAGACAGAUGGAGAGGUUAUUUUCAUAAUCUUUUCAAUGAAUGACAUGAAAUGAGUGCUUCUUUAGGGGAGUUGAGUAACUCAGAAGAGUGUAGAAACUACUCUUUUUAUCGUCGAAUCCGGAAGGAAGAAGUGGUUGUAGCUUUGAAGAAGAUGAAGCAUAAAAAAGCAAUAGGCCCAGACAAUUAUACCAAUCGAAGUGUGGAAACUUUUGGGAGAGACAGGUAUAACAUGGCUCACUGACCUUUUCAAUAGGAUUUUGAAAACGAAGAAGAUGCCAAAUGAGUGGCGAACGAGCACUUUGGUGCCUAUCUACAAGAAUAAGGGCGACGUACAAAAUUGCAUGAACUAUAGGGGUAUUAAGCUAAUGAGUCAUACAAUGAAGCUCUGGGAGAGAGUCAUUGAGCAUAGAUUGAGGCAAGAGACACGGGUUUCGGACAACCAAUUCGGGUUCAUGCCAGGGCGCUCAACCAUGGAGGCAAUCUAUCUCUUACGAAGAUUGAUGGAAAGAUAUAGAGAUGGGAAAAAAAGAUUUACACAUGGUCUUUAUAGAUUUGGAAAAAGCGUAUGAUAGGGUCCCAAGAGACAUUCUUUGGAGGAUUUUAGAGAAGAAAGGAGUACGAGUAGCAUAUAUCCAAGCUAUAAAGGAUAUGUAUGAAGGAGCAAAGACUGCCGUAAGAACUCAUGAAGGACAAAACCGAAAGCUUUCCCAUAACUGUAGGAUUACAUCAAGGCUCAUCCUUAAGUCCUUACCUUUUUGCGUUGGUAAUGGAUGAGUUAACAGGACAUAUUCAAGAUGAUAUUCCUUGGUGUAUGCUUUUCGCAGACGAUAUAGUGUUGAUAGAUGAAACUCAGGAAGGGGUAAAUGCAAAGCUUAACCUUUGGAGAGAAGUGUUGGAAUCUAAAGGUCUUCGCCUAAGCCGAUCAAAGACAGAAUAUAUGGAGUGCAAGUUCAGUGCAAAUCGAGGCCAAAACGAGUUAGGGGUGAGGAUCGGAGAUCAAGAAAUACCAAAGAGCGACCGUUUUCGUUACCUAGGAUCUAUCUUGCAAAAGAACGGAGAAUUAGAUGGAGAUCUCAACCACAGAAUACAAGCUGGAUGGAUGAAGUGGAAGAGUGCAUCCGGCGUAUUGUGUGACCGCCGUAUGCCACUGAAGCUGAAGGGAAAAUUUUAUAGGACGGCAAUAAGGCCGGCGAUGCUGUAUGGCACAGAAUGUUGGGCGGUGAAACAUCAACACGUACACAAAAUGGGUGUAGCGGAGAUGAGGAUGCUUCGUUGGAUGUGUGGGCACACGAGAAAGGAUAAGAUUAGGAAUGAGGAUAUCCGGGGUAAAGUAGGAGUAGCCGAAAUUGAAGGAAAGAUGAGAGAAAAUCGGUUACGGUGGUUUGGACAUGUGCAAAGAAGGCCUACUGACGCUCCGAUUAGAAGAUGCGACUAUGGGACAGAGGUUCAGGGCCGAAGGGGUAGAGGAAGACCUAGGAAAACUUUGGAAGAGACUCUAAGAAAAGACUUAGAGUACUUGGAUCUAACGAAGGACAUGACUCAGGAUCGAGCACAAUGGCGUUCUAAGAUUCAUAUAGCCGAUCCCACUCAGUGACUUGGAUUUUCCAAGUCUCCAACCGAGAAGUUUUCCUCACUCGGGAAAUUAAGGGAACACUACCCCAACCUACAUGCUCUACUCAGAAAGCUUCAACAUACAAGCUUCAACAAAAGAAAAUUCAAAGAACUUAGCGAAGAAGGCUUUGGUGUAUUUAACACAAUACGUUGAAAUGAAGGAAAGCUUAUUUAUUGAUAUCCCCGAUAAGCUACAAAUAUGUACAUAUACAUGAGUCAAAAUAAACACACAAGAGGGAGCCUUCACAAAGGUUGCUUAGGAGAAGUCUCAGCAGUCGGUAGAGCCCCAGAAAGAGAAGGCACCGGAGGGGGAUCAUUUGGAGCCUCAGUACUAGACAGAACCCUAGAAGGAGGAGGCAUCAGAGGUUGAUCAUUCGGAGCUUCAUUACGUGGUACAGCCCCAGAAGACGAAGGCAAUAAAUGCCUUUGGAACAAACCCACAAAUCUCUGAUGAUCAAGUAAAAAACCUGACCAUCAGUUUCCUUCAUCUGGUCAAGCUUCCUCUUCAUGUUUGUAGCAUAGUCAUGUGCGAGCCGGUGCAACUGUUUAUUCUCAUGUUUGAGCCCUCUAAUCUCCUGUUUGAGAGACUCAUCACUUCAGCCGCCAAUGAUUUCAACUUGGCGGGUUCGAGCAAAUAGGCGUUGGGCCAUAUUAGACACAUAACCUGCACACUGAACAGUGAGAGCCAGUGAAUCCUUAACAGCUAACUCAUCAGACCGUUUGGAAAGUAGUCUGUUAUCUUUGGGAGUGAGAAGGUUCCUGGCCACCACCGCAGCGGUCAUAUCAUUCUUCAUCACGGAAUCCCCAACGGUAAGAGGACCAGUAGGGGAGACGAAUGAUGGGCGCCAUAUGUUGUCUGGAGAAGGCGGGGCUGCCUCUUCAACAAGGUUCAAGUCAAAACGACGGUCGGAGGGGCCAGACAUUUUCAAAGGUGUUGAAGAGAAAAGAGGUCGGACAAAUCAAGAUCUUAGAAGUGCAAGAAUGAAGCUUCUACUAGUGGAGAUUCAAGUGUGCUUUGGAACUUAAUGCCAGCCCCUAUAAAAAAUCUGCACUCGACGGAGCUUCAGAAAUCGAAGAGGCGCCUGCUCAGAAAUCGAAGAGGCGUUUGCUUUCUCAAAAGCUGGGUUGCUUAGAGAUCACGAGGGUUGAUCUCAGAAAUCGAAGAGGCGUUUGCUUUCUCAAAAGUUGGGCUGCUCAAAGACCACGAAGGCCGAUCUCAGAAAUCGACGAGGCGCUCGCUUUCUCAAAAGCUGGGCUCCCCAGAGACCACGAGGGCCGAUCUCAGAAAUCGAAGAGGCACCUACUACUUUUCCAGCCUUGUCAGCACCUGUCACACGCACACUCAGCUUUGCGGAAAUUAUGGGCAUUCUGUCGAAGACUUCUGGGGAAGUAGAAAACACACACAUGAAUCUUACUUUUCAAUCACCCACUUCCCACACACGCAACAAUAGCUCAUGGGUACCACAGAUAACUUUGCCAAAGUUCUCUGCCAAAGUUGAGCACGUGAAGCUUGAAGCUCCCACUACAUCGCUCUGACCAAGAAGGGUAAAAGAAUAGCAAAGAAACAGCACUAACAAAGUUUAGACCCAUAAAUUUUUGAAGGUCUAGCUACCAUAUUAUUACCCACAAGGGUAAAGGAACAGUACCACUGCUGGAUAAUUGGAAAGUCCCUGUGUGUCAACCUCUGUGCUUCGUGGCAAGGUAGACUAGCAAACAUGUCCAACCUUUACUCACAUUCGAGAAAACACUCCCAAUAAGAUUGCUUGCUCCAAAAUCGAAGAGGCACCGUCCUCCGAAUCUCGAGAGCCAGACUCCCAACAUGACUACUUUCUUAAAAAAUCGAAGAGAGGGUAAAGGAACAGUACCAUUGCUGGAUAAUUGGAAAGUCCCUGUGUGUCAACCUCUGUGCUUCGUGGCAAGGUAGACUAGCAAACAUGCCCAACCUUUACUCACAUUCGAGAAAACACUCCCAACAAGAUUGCUUGCUCCAAAAUUGAAGAGGCACCGCCCUCCGAAUCUCGAGAGCCAGACUCCCAACAUGAUUACUUUCUCAAAAAAUCGAAGAGACACUGCUCCCCGAAUCUUCGAGAGCCAGACCCCCAGCAUGAUUGCUUUCUCAAAAAUCGAUGAGGCAUCGUUCUCCGAAUCAAUCGAAGAGGCGCUCGCUUUCUCAAAAGCUGGGCUGCUCAGAGACCACGAGGGCCGAUCUCAGAAAUCGAAAGAGGCACCUACUAUUCUAGCCUUGUCAGCACCUGUCACACGCACACUCAGCUUUGCAGAAAAUUAUGGGCAUUCUGUCGAAGACUUCUGGUGAAGUAGAAAGCACAUGAAUCUUACUAUUCAAUCACCCACUUCCCACACGCAACAAUAGCUCAUGGGUACCACAGAUAACUUUGCCAAAGUUCUCUGCCAAAGUUGAGCACGUGAAGCUUGCAGCUCCCACUACAUCGCUCUGACCAAGAAAGGUAAAAGAAUAGCAAAGAAACAGCACUAACAAAGUUUAGACACAUAAAUUUUGAAGGUCUAGCUACCAUAUUAUUACCCCACAAAGGGUAACGGAACAGUACCAUUGCUGGAUAAUUGGAAAGUUCCUCUGUGUCAACCUCUGUGCUUCGUGGCAAGGUAGACUAGCAAACAUGCCCAACCUUUACUCACAUUCGAGAAAACACUCCCAACAAGAUUACUUGCUCCAAAAUCGAAGAGGCACCGUCCUCCGAAUCUCGAGAGCCAGACUCCCAACAUGACUACUUUCUCAAAAGCGAAGAUAGGGUAAAGGAACAGUACCAUUGCUAGAUAAUUGGAAAGUCCCUGUGUGUCAACCUUUGUGCUUCGGGGCAAGGUAGACUAGCAAACAUGCCCAACCUUUACUCACAUUCGAGACAACACUCCCAACAGGAUUGCUUGCUCCAAAAUCGAAGAGGCACCGUCCUCCGAAUCUCGAGAGCCAGACUCCCAACAUGAUUACUUCCUCAAAAAUCGAAGACACUACUCUCCGAAUCUCGAGAGCCAGACCCCCAGCAUGAUUGCUUUCUCAAAAAUCGAAGAGGCAUCGUUCUCCCGAAUCUCGAGAGCCAGAUACCACAGACCACUUUUUCAAAGUGCUCUGACAGAGUUAAAACAUGUGAAACUGGCAGCUCCCACUACCGUGCUAUGACCAAGCAGGGUAAAUGAAUAACAUUACUACUUGUUGUUAGGGAGACUCCUAUAUAUGUCGACCUCCAUCCCCAACGGACAGGCAGACCUGCAAAAAAUGCUCAACCCUUCAUCAUAUCUAAGAGGGCACUCCCAACGAAGCCUUUCGAAAUAUUCAGCUUUCUUUCCCCCCGAUAAUACCUCUGCAAACAAGCUAUACUAGAGCAAGAAUAUCUCAUAUCAUCAGGGUUAAAAGCAAGAGUAUCCCAUAUCAUGCUUUUUCCCUGUCUUUUCCUUUGGCCUUGUUUUUUACCUGCAAGACAAGGAGAAAGAGAGCAAUCAGUCAGCACUUGGAAUCAAGCUUCCAGCCAGGAACUGACUGCCUGGAACCCCUUACCUGAUUACUUACCUGGCAUUGCUCUCGAGUACUCAUCUUCAACAUCUUAUGUUUCCAGGGAAGAUUUCCGCAUCUGCUUGAGGAACAGAUAGGGCAAGUGCGAAGGAUACAAGGAAGCAUGUGGAGACAAGCGUAACAGCACACGUGCCGAUACAUCCAUUACUCUGUCAAAAGAAAAAGUAUCCCAUAUCAGCAGGGUGGAACGUACUCUAGAUUUGAUGGACUUGUUUUGACCCUCAAAUUCUUCAGUCGUCGCCUUAUACUCUGGAGGAAACCAGAAAACCCUCCAGCUCAGUUCAAGAAUAAGCCUGUGGAAAGUUACUUCUUCAAAAGCAAAAAGUAUCUCAUAUCAUCUCUUCUCAUUUUUCUUCUCUUUAUCCUUCAUGCUGCUGUAAGAUGGGGAGAAGGUGAACAAUCAGUCGGAGCUCUGAUUGAUUACCUUGUCUGUCACCUCUUUCAGCAGACCCCCUAGCUCGGCGACUUGGGGGACUCCUACUACAUGGUUUGUAUCGCGCUUGACCAAGCUUGAAACUACAAGUAAGCUUCAAGUGAAAUUGAUACAUUACCUUGUGCAUCUCCACCAGUUAAAGAUAUCACCCCUGGAUGGAGGAAGAGUACUUCCAGAGAAGAUGCCACAUCUACCUAUGAGACAGAUAAGGCAAGUCAAGAGACGACACCACACUCCGAUACUUAGAAGUUUCGUGAUUACGAGAUCAUUCUCCCACAAUAUUUCCUAAUGUCAUUUGUACUAAAUCAUUCACUUGUACUCAUUAAAAGGAGAGCUUGAACCCAUGUACUUGUGUAAACCCUUCACAAUUAAUGAGAACUCUUCUAUUCCGUGGACGUAGCCAAUCUGGGUGAACCACGUACAUCUUGUGUUUGCUUUCCUAUCUCUAUCCAUUUAUAUACUUAUCCACACUAAUGACCGGAGCAAUCUAGCGAAGAUCACAAAAAGCGACCGUUUUCGCUACCUAGGAUCUAUCUUGCAAGAGAACGGAGAAUUAGAUGGAGAUCUCAACCAUAGAAUACGAGCUGGAUGGAUGAAGGGUAAGAGUGCAUCCGGCGUGUUGUGUGACCGUCGUAGGCCACUGAAGCUCAAGGGAAAAUUUUAUAGGACGGCAAUAAGGCCAGCGAUGUUGUAUGGCACAGAAUGUUGGGCGGUGAAGCAUCAACACGUACACAAAAUGGGUGUAGCGGAGAUGAGGAUGCUUUGUGGGAUGUGUGGGCACACGAGAAAGGAUAAGAUUGGGAAUGAGGAUAUCCGAGGUAAAGUAGGAGUAGCCGAAAUUGUAGGAAAGAUGAGAGAAAAUCGGCUCCGGUGAUUUGGACAUGUGCAAAGAAGGCCGACUGACGCUCCAGUUCGAAGAUGUGACUACGGGACAGAGGUUCAGGGCCGAAGGGGUAGAGGAAGACCUAGGAAAACUUUGGAAAAGACUCUAAGAAAAGACUUAGAGUACUUGGAUCUAACGGAGGACAUGAUACAAAACCGAGCGCAAUGGCGUUCUAGGAUUCAUAUAGCCGACCCCACUUAGUGGGAAAAGGCUUUGUUGUUGUUGUUGUUGUAUAAGCAACUGGUUAGGGUAGUAUUAUUGUAUGUAGGCCUCUCUCUAGAGCCUAAAGUUGGUCAUAUUUUUGUUUUGGUCUCCCAUCGUGCCAUAUUAUUAGGGUAUAGAAGUGACAACUCUUCGAGUAUGAGCAUUUGGUUCACGGGCCUUUCCCAUUGUAACACGGCAAUGGCCGACUCAGUUGAGUUGCAGCGUUUGUUUUGUUUGUGUGUCUUCAUCUCCUCCAUCUCGCAAUUGCCAGCAACUCCAAAACCACAUACGCGAAGUUUUGGUUCUAUUUUCAAAGUAUAUAUCGACAAGAUCAAUUACCGUUUCCCAUACUGAAUUUGUAGCGUGCCUUUCGACAUCCGGCGUUUCAGUACAAGUGAUUUCUGCACGUACUUUUUCGUUUUCAUAUAACAUCUUUAUUUACUUUUAGUCUUUGAAUUAAAUAGAUCAAAGAAGAAUCAAGAGACAAAAGAAUAUAUAAGCAUGCAGAAGAUCAACACUAUUUUCUUCAUCAACAACGGUCGCCCAAGAGAUGCCCAAGACUUCCAGGAAGGUGAAAACCAGAUGCCGCUCGACCAAAUGAUCAUAUGCAUCAUUGACCUUAAUUGCGUGUGAGAAAAUAAAUUUACGUAUACGGGGGUCAUCCUUGGAGAGAGAAACGUUGGUACUGGGGCUCUGGAGUCGUAAAAACCGUGAAGCUGCUUGGAAACCUGCAAUGUGGGUCUCAAUGCGAACCGCAAAGCGUGAGCCUGUUGGUUUGGUUGUAAGCUGUCCAGGGUUCCCUUUCUCCCACAUUAAUUUAUCGAUUAGAUGUGCGUUGAUGAAUCACAGGAGAUUCACAAAUCACAGGCGAUUUAACGAGUGAAUGUGAUCCACUUAACACGCUACGUAUGGCGUAUAUUGACAGGACAAUGCAUUUUAACCCCGUGCAAGUGACAACUCCUCAGUCAACAGUAAUCUGAAAGAUGGCAUCCUUGAAAACGUGAUCAUUUCUUGCAAAUGUUGCUAUAUAAUUUACAGGUUUAAUUAGACAAGGACUUGAUCCAAGAAACAAAUGGCAAAGAAAAUUCACUCAGAACAAUGAAGAAGAAAGACCAGUAUACUGUUUCAAAUGGGGAUUUGAAUACCAUCUCCCCACCAUAUUACCAUAAUCUAACGUCCCUGGAAUGCACGUCGCCUGUACGCCUUCGCCAGACCACGUAACCUUCGCGUAUAUGAUGCAAUCUUCAACAAUCGAUCUCCCGUUUCCUUUCUCAUUCCAAGUUGUUCUCAACGAAUAAACAUCGUCGAUUCCAUCAGAUGUUCAGUUUGAACUUUGAGCUGAUGUUUAGUUGUGUUUUUCGACCAAGUACACCCACUAUAAUCCACACUCUGCAUUGAUUGAUUGUUUAUAUCACAGAAGAAAUCCAAGCUACCGAUGUUCCGGAACUGGCUGAAAAUCAUCAGUCAAGAAGGUCACGAACAUGAAAUCUUUCCUCCAACAAUUCAGAUCCAGAAAAGCUGAAAAAUGAUUACUUUCUUCCAUCAAAAGGCCAUCGUGCGAUUCAUCGUCAUCAGCUGCAAGAAAGGACGCUGGUAUCUAACAAAUUCAUCGAGGAAGAUUUCAAGGGGAGCCUGGUUCACCAUCUGAGCAAGGCGGAGAAUCUGAAGCAUCUGCAAGAGCGUCGAGCAUUGUAAUAACAUCACUAGGGUCAUCCAAAUAGUACUUGGCUUUACUGGGUUUCUGUCCAACAGUACAAGCGAAAACACUGGUAUUAGAGGAGAGGAUGCCGUUUCUCAUAGCACUACCAAUGAUCUCAAACAUAUCCUCAUCAGAUCUAUCGUCGCCAACACACAGUACAAAGUCAGCCUGCUUCCCCGUCUCGUGCAUUGAUGUGAAGAUCUUUUCUGCAACCACGCCUUUACUGACACCCUAUAAGGCACAACAAAAAUUGGGUUCAAUAAUCACUUAAAAAAUCAAUUGGUUUGCAACAAUCCUUAGCAACGUAAUGUAGAUCUCUUUUAUCAUCAGCAAGCAAACUAUUCGUCUUAAACUUUACUAAAGUCAACUUUACUACUGUGGUUCUCUGUGAGAUUGUUUUAUGAGCCAACGUCAAAGCAUUGCCAUCCUUCACAGUAUAAUCUUUUCAAAUGUUUCUCGUGAGGAUACUAAACAAACCCUCAUUUUCUAAAAUUCCUCCAAGUCACUUGAUUAAGAUGCACGCAAGCAUAGGGUUAUUACGCAUAUUCUCAGAGUUUCUGAGCAUUUUUAGUGUGUUGCACUUGCCAAAUGCAAAGGUGCUUAUUCAGACGAGGUACCAGUUCUAAGCAUAAUAUUCUAAUUUAUGACUUGCAAAAGACCCCUAAGAGACGAAGGAAUAGAAGAGAGGACCCAAAUCAAAAAAUCAAAUAAGGACGGCUGAAUGGAAAUUUCUACAGAUUGCAAGAUGAGAAAAUUAUGUGCUGUGUAUCUUCCAUGCAUUCUAACAAUGAAAAUGGGGGAACUUGGAGCUUUUUCUGUGAUAAACAGGAAUAGGUAGUCGAUCCUAGUGACAAUGGUGAUGUCCUGAUAUAUUUUUCUGUGACAAUGGUGAUGUCCUAAUAUAUUUUUCUGUGACAUUGGACAAGAAUUUGCAUUAACGUAGAGAGUUAAAAUUUGAGAGAGAGUUAAGACAUUCACCUGUGGCUUCACUUCUACAAUAUACUGACCACUCUUCACAGCAACUGGUUCAUUUGCUAGCACACUUUCUAAAUGGUCGAGCAACUCUUUAGCCUGACUGGAUCCAAAACCAGAAUCUGCAUCUCGAUGGUGCCAAACCAAGGCACUCUCCUUGGUUUCAAUGCUAGAACCAUCGGUGGCUUCUGUGUAGAGUUUCAUAACUGGUUCAGCUAUCUGUAUCCAACCAAAGUCAUUGCUCUGCCCGCAAACUUCCCAAUCCUUGUCAGCAGACCACCUAACAAAAAUCAAUUUAUGUUAAAACCAAACAAAAAACAAGGAUAACUGUAAAGGACAAAUAGUUAUUGGAUAUACCUCAUAAAAUAACCAUGUUCAGCAGCAAUUCCGAGUUUCUUGCAAGGAGAAAACCACUUGCUCAAACUAUCCCUUCCUCUCCCACUGACCACAAAAACAGUGUUUUUAACAUCACCACAAAGCGUAUUAAUGAGGGAGAUCACUUCUUGACUCGGGCUCUUAUUUAUAGAUGUUUGAGGCAUCACAGUGCCAUCAUAAUCCAGUAGAAUUGCCCUAUUUUUAGAUCUCAAAUAAGCAGAAACAAUGUGAUCAAUAGUCAGCUUUCUGAAGUUAGGAUCAAGUGCUAUAACCCUGAAGCCGAAGCCCAAACCAAUACCCCAGCAACGCCUUCUGAAAUGGUCUUUGCAAGUUCUCUCCAUAUCUUGGAAAACACUUCGUGACCAGUAUGCCACAUCAUGUGUACUAACAUACCUAUAAUGCUUCUCAUGGCGCAACUGCUUCUCGGGUUCCUCCAUUGAAAUUGCCUCAUUCAUCGCCUCAGCCGUUGAUUCAGUAUUCCAUGGGUUAACCCGAAUUGCACCACUUAGUGAAGGGGAACAUCCAAUAAACUCUGAUACUACUAGCAUGCUCUUCUUCGGCCCACUGUGUUCUGAAUUAGAAUCUGAUACAGAGUUUCCUUGCCUGCACACAAUGUAUUCAUAUGGAAUAAGAUUCAUCCCAUCUCUCACAGCUGUGACAACUACACACUCGGCAAUGGUGUAAUAUGCAACUCUUUCACUAAGAGAGACUUGCCUAUCAAUAAACACAAUGGGUUCAUAACCAGUCCGACCAAAUUUUUCAUUAAUUCUUUUGAUGCUUGACUGAAUUUCAGCCUGCGUUUCCUCAAGAUCUUUCCCUCUUCCCCUAGCAGGGUUUGCUAUCUGUACCAGAACCGCUUUCCCCUGCCACUUCGGAUGCUGCUUCAGCAUCUGUUCCAUUGCCAAGAGCUUCAAGUUGACACCUUUAAAGAUGUCCAUAUCAUCAACACCCAGCAGCACAGUCUUCCCCUCAAACUGUUGUUUAAGUUCUCCUUCCCUCCACUCCUUAUCGGCAAGCUUCAACACUGACCCAAUCUGCCCCAUAUGAAUCCCGACAGGCAUGAUCUUUAUCCCAACUGUCCUUCCAAAAUAAUCCAGCCCAAUAUAACCCCGCUUUGACUGAUACUCCAAACCCAACAUCCGACUACAACAAGACAAGAAAUGUCGAGCGUAAUCAAAUGUGUGGAACCCAAUAAGGUCCGAAUUUAGAAGUGCCUUUAGGAUCUCUUCCCCUUACCGGUAGAGUCCUAUAUAUUUCAGACGAAGGGAAUGGGCUGUGAAGAAAAAACCCCAUUCUCAAUCUAUUGAAUCUCCUCCUCAAGAAGGUAGGCAGGCACCAUUAGAUGGUAAUCAUGAAUCCACACAUAGUCAUCCUCCGGAUUUAUUACCUCGAUCACCCUUUGUGAAAAAAUCUUAUUUGCAGCCACAUAUGCUUCCCACAAAGACCGAUCGAACCUCCCACCAUGGGUUGCUGAGAAUGGAAGCAUGUAAUGAAACAAAGGCCACAAAUGCUGCUUACAAAACCCAUGAUAGAACUUGGACAAAAUGUCGGGCGGCAAAAAAGCUGGAACACUCUUGAAUCUAUCCAACAGGAGCGCUGAUACAUCGUCCUGUUCAUUCGAAUCCACUUCGACGCUCAAAGAACCUACAUACAAAACCUCCAUAUCUUCAGGUAAACCGUCCUUCAACUGCAAUAACAAUGAGUCCUCAUCCCAACUAAAGCUCCAUCCUUUAUUAUCCGGUCUCCGCUUAGCUUUCACAGGGAGCUGGUUGGCAACAAUAAUUAUCCGGUCCUGAACGAUCGAGGACGGAACAUCCGAAGACACACUACCAGCCUGAUCAUCAUCAAGCUCAGAUAUAACACCGGCAACGGUCAUUACACGCGGAAGCCGCCGUCUUUCGCGACCCAUUACCGGAAAGUUCCCGGAGGCUAGAUCUAAAAGAUUGGUAUACGAUUUGGACAUCAUCUUGAACAGAAUUUAUCUGGGUUUCCCCAAUCCAACUCAAAAAUCACAGACAAGAUCUCACAAAUAUAAACCUGACCCAAGAUUCCUUGCCUCUUCAAGUAACAAAAAUUAAGCAGGAUCUGUAAUAACAUGAAAUAAACGGGCAUCAACAUAUACCAAACUAAGCAUUGAUUCCAAUACCCAAAUUAGAUUCAAUCACUGCAAAUAACCAUUAAUUAAUAACACUUCCUAAUACCAAAAACUGCAAAAAAACAGCAUAAAAUCUCAUGUUUCAGUUAAUAUCCAAAAACAAAGUAAACCCUAGAGAGUGAAUUGAAAUAUUUCCAAAAACUGAAAGAAAAAAAAAAGAAAAAAAUGAUACCUUCAGAGGUUUGAAAGAGCAAAUUUUGAAUCUUUCCCAGGAACAAUUUGGAUCUGAAAAUCCAAAUAAAAAAUUAAUUGGGGGUGAAAUCAGCAGGAAAGAAAUCUAGGGUUUGGUUUGGUCUUCUCUGAAAGUGAACGGCCAAGAGUCCCACUUGCAAAGAUCUCUCUCUCCCUCUCCCUCUCCCCAUACAAAUAUAAAAGAAAUAUUUUUGCUUCCCUCUUUUUGGAGGAACAAAUUGAAAAAAAAAAAUUGUUUGUGUAUAUUUUUGGAAAUUAAAAAUUCGAAAAACAGUAAAAAAAGAAGAGGAUAAGGUUGGCCAGUAGACUUCCCAGUAAUGCCAACUGGCCCUUUAUGCUUGAAAGCUUUCCCCACGCGCGUAUACUCCCGCGUGCCCAGGAUCUGGUGACGUGGCCAAAUCCUACACUUGCGUUGGCAUCUCACACUCUGUUUGAAAAGCGGCGGGGACACGUCGUCUUUGUAUUUCGUAACCCACCGCCCGGGUCCACGCGUCGCCGAAUAUAUAUCCACUCGGUUAAAAUUAUCCACUGUUUUCGCGUUCAGGAUAAAUAUCUGCCCUCAUUGGUAAUUUUUUUUAAAUUUUUUUUAACAAACGGUAUUAUGUAAGCUCAAAGGCGCAGUCGCUAACUCUUCAUAAAAGAAAUAGGUAAUAAUGUAGAUUAAAUUCGUUUUCUAUGAGAAUUCAACCAAAGUCUUUUUACUUACAAAUAAAAAUAAUAAUACUUAGACCGUAAUACUAAGUUGGGCAUUGAAAAUUAUUUUAAAAAAAAAAUUGGAAUAACGUUGGUGAUUGGUGGGGGGGCACAAAAAGUGCCUUUUGUGCAAUUUGCCACAUGGUGCCAUAUAAUAAAUACGAAAAAUACGGAUAAGGCGAUGCCAAAGAGGUGAUGACGUCAUCGGUGACGUCACCAAAUAGUACCACUUGGCAGGCACGUGGUUUUGGCGCGGACAGGAAACAUAUGUGGGCAUAGGGGAAUUUACUAGUAAGGGUAUGAUAUUCACAUACCCUAUUUUACUUCUCACACCUCUUUUUAAUUUUCGGGCUUCGGAUUGGAUGAAUUGAAGAAAAUUAAUGGACAAAAAUUAACAAGAAGUGUGUAGGAAGUAAUUUGAAGUGUGUGGAGAUCACACCCCUACUAGUAUACCACCCACUUUAAACUACAUUUCACACUAUAUUCGAGGUAAUUUUGUAAAUAGGUCAAAUGGUUUUAAUUUUUUGCAUUCUAAAAUUUGGAAAUUGUUUCAAUUUACCCAUUUUCUUUCAAUUUACACCUUUUGUCUGAUGAAAUAAUUGAAUCUACAAUAACUGAUGACAUGGUGAGUAUGAAACUCGUAAUUACAGUGACAGUAAGCAACAUUUGCACUACAUUAACAAAAACACUCAUCACCUUAAUGAAUAAUAGCGAAGGCCACACACUCUAUGUGUGAAAAAUAUAUUUUUUUUUCUCAAAUAUUGUUUUUAAAUUUUAUUUUUUAUUUUUUAUGGGAGGAGUUAUUGUUUUUAACGGGUUGACAGACAUCUAAAAAAAAGGGGUUGGCAAUUAAGAAGAGAGAGAGAGUGUGAGUUUAUAGAGGAUAAUGAUAGUAUGACAUGACUGUGAGGUUAAAAAACAUCACAAUUUGUUUGUGCGAAAUUUACUGCUCAUGUGUUUUUUUUCUAAUAUUUUUGUUUCAUUUAUGUAUUGAAGAUUAAUUUUAUUAGUUUUUAGGUAACAAAAAGAAUUAUAUUAAUAUGUAGUUUAGAUUAAACGUUCAAAUAUUUAAAAAGUGAAAUUGAUACAAUUUCAAAAUCUUAUAGGGCAAUGUGAAACGGUGCAUGCAAACUUUUGUGAGAACUUUUAGGGUAGCGAGUCAUAUAGCAAAAUAAUUACAAUAAUUUGAUGGGAACUUAUUAUCUACGAGAGUCGAUUUUAAAAUAUUUCGCUACACAAUAUUACGAAGUAGCAGAAUAAUAUUCUAAUAAGUCACUUUCACACAAUCUCAUCUCUCGACUCAAAUUGUAGUAUUGAUUUUUUACUAAAGAUAGUUUAGAAGAAAUGUAUGCCAACUGAGUCGUGAAUCAUCAGGUGAUUGUUUUUGGUACAAUAAAAUAUCUCGUGAUGAAUAGGGGAGAUAUUGAAAAUGUGGAUAUAAAUUUACAUGGUUGGGGUUAAAAAGAUGGGAAGUGGGAAGCAAAUGCAAUGUCGUUUUCCUCCCAGCUGGAUUUGUUUUAUGCGUCCGAAUAAUACUUGGAUUGUUCUUGAAAAUAAACCAAGGAAUGAGAGGGAAUAAUGGUGAAGACCAUGACCGUAUGGUGUGAUGGCCUUUCUCUCAUUUGACCAGCAUAGAAUAUGCUUUUGCUUUGCUUACCUAAUUUUUCAUGCAUGGAGAAGGUGAGGGUCAGUGCAAUGCUUUGGAAUAAGAUAAUGUCGCUAUUCAAUUAAGUCUCAUACAUUAUUUGUUGUCACACGAAACUAUUAUUUUAGUUUUUCAAUUAAAAUCGGAUAUUUCUUGUCAAUCUACGAAUCUCCUCGAAUUAAAAUCCUGCUCUUAUUUUAUCUACUUGUUUCGAGUUCAAAUUCUCCCUCUCAUGUUUUUUACAACAUUUCUAUCAAUUGUUUCAGCCAAUGUCGUUCGUCCAUGUGACCUGAACUCGAGAAUUCCUCCAACAACUUAUUGGCUCAAGUUCAUCUUUUGAAUUCGAGGAAAAUACGCUUCCAUUUGACCAUUUGUUGUAAUUCAUGGUUGAGUUACUUUCAAAGCUUAUGGUCUCUCCAUUGCAUAAUUCCUUCGAGUCGAAACUCGGACAGACCAAAAAAUGUCAUCGGGAACGAUUGUGUUCUGGUUGAUCUAGCCGUUAGUUGUGAGGGAGUGGAAGGAGACCUAUGGAUGGAUGCCGAUAUUUGGAGCCGUUGCUGCAAUUGCAGCGGCUUUUUCGACCGGUGCCAACAAUCUUCCGUCUCCGGUUUGUGCAUUUUCAUUAGGGUUCAUGUGGAUACCUAUUAGCUAAUCACAUUGUUAUGCACAUUUUUUAUGUUCAUAGAUAUAUUAUAGCAUCUGACGUUUGUCUUUUGUUUGAUGUUUUUCAGUUUUCGACACCUAUUGGGUCGGGGAGUUUGACACUUCUGAAGGCAUUUGAAGCAGCCUUUGCCAGUUGCGGUAGUUUUGUGAAUGAUCUGUUUUCUGAUGUACGGAUUAAGACACUUCCAUUUCAACUCUAUUUUACGUCCAAAGAAAUUGUACGUUACAACACGGAUUUUCCUACCGCGCAUUUAAUUGAACUUUUUAAACUAUGGAUAUGUCAUGUAAAUUAUUAAUAGUGUUGAUACUUCAACCUUAUAUUUGUCGAUAUGUCGUUAAUAAACUUGGGAUUCUCCGCCUUUUACUUUUCGCCGACAUUUUUUUAUUCUCCUAAAAAGAAAAAGUCAAAGCAGCAGACCUGUAGUCCCAUUAUCCACCUUUAAAGACAUUUUUAAAGAAUAUUAUGAGAAAGUGCAAUUAACCGCUCUAUAGAAGGAUUGGCGUAUAAUUUAGCUAAUAGAGUUCUCCAUAUCCCCAGUUUCUCAAGGAAAAUCAGCCUAGUGAAGGCUUGUUGAUGUGGAGUAUGGUAGUUGUUGUAGAAACCGCAGGUAUAUUCAAAGACUUGCUUAUUGCUGAUAUUUAUUUUAUACGUUCUUUUUGUCAUGCCUAUAAAUUUUUUACAGCAAUUUGGCUUGCUCUGGCUACAUAUUUGCAGCUGCCAGUCUCACCUCAGCAGUCAAUGCAGGGUGCCCUAUUGGGAACUAUACUUGUUACUGAAGGUUUUAGCUACAUACCCUUGCGGAAUAAGGUAAGGAGGUAUACAGAUUAGGUCGCUUAAGUAAGACGUUCCACACGAAAAAUUUACGAGAGGUUGAAAAAUGUAAAUGAUUUCACUUCGUUUUGGUAAAACAAUAUCCUGUUUGCGCUAUUCAUUUCCAAAACAUGUAAGUCCUUGAUGUCAAAUGCUUAAGCUUGACUUGUUUUUCGCUAUAAUCUUUCGUUUCUUAUUCUCGAGGGAUUGUGAAAUGCAGAAUGCAAAUCACAAUUUCAAUCGUGGAGGACUUCUGUGGAUAUUUCUUGAACGGACUGUUGCUCCAUUCAUUGCCUUUGCAUGUGUACUCUUCCUCUUCAGCGUAAUGAAGGCUUCUCUGCUUCACCGUGAAAAUGUCGAAAAAAGGUUCUUGUUCUUUUCCCGUUUGGCUAUGAAUAUCUGCAGGAUUGCUUUGCCUCUUUUUCAUGAUUCGGGUAAAUUUUCUCGGCGUAAUGAGUAGUGUAACCAUUCGUUAUGCAUUGCAUUUUAUUUUGUCAAUUUUUUGAUGUGAACUUUUUUCAUUCUUCAACAUUAUCAAUAUCUUCCAUCUUCAUUGCUGUUCAUAUUGCAGGUCAUACCGUCUACAAGUGCAGUUCACAGUAGGGUUACUGUUGUUGCAGUUGCCCUGGCCGCCAUGACUGGAGCACUAUUAUCCUUGGUAUGUACAACAUCAGAUUUUUUUAAAACCUUCCUUUCCCUUCUAUAUGUUCAACCUUAAUUCGGAUCUCUAAGAAACAGGGUUUGGUGAUUCCUUUAGCCAUGAAGAAAGUCAAUGCAGCCAAAAUUUACAAGACCGUGAAGAGAAACAUGUCUAAAUCCAUAAACCAAAAGUCUACAGAAAGCCAAGAACAAACCUGUAUUAGUACAAAAUCUUCGGAUGACGGAGCACAGUCUGAAGAAGCCUUGAAAGAUUUCCUGCAGAUGAGAGUCCUUGGUACUGUGUACGAAGAAGAGGAUGAGAGGAGCUGGGCUUAACCGGACUCAAUACAAGAACCUGAACCUGCGCCUACUCCUGAUCAUUCUGCUUUCGAAGAUAAGUCUAAUACGGAGAAACCUAGGUCAUUUAGGCAGUUGCUUGAGUCUUCAAACAAGGCACUUUCACAAGAUUGAAAAAACACCACCGGUUGAGAACUCCUUUCGGUUCAUAAGAGGCCAUCAAAAUCAGCUUUUUGUUCUCAUGUAAGACCUAUACAUACGUAUUUCAUUCUUGCCUGAAUGUGCGGUUCAGAUUCACAUUACCUUAUAUCACGCUAACCUUCAUGCUUAUGUGACGGAAUAGGUAAACGAGUAUGACAGACAAACUCUUGUUCUAGCUGAAAAAUAUGAUGAUGUGGAAGGCUUGUUCAUCUUACCACAGAUUAUAGCUUCGUGUAUCUUCACGUAAGUUCAUUUCUGCCCCGAAAAACCAAAAACACUAAGUUCAUUGAUGUAAAAUAUAGUGAAGAUAUUGACACUAUGUUCUUGCAAGCUUAUUCAAUCCGCUAAUGAAGUAGCUGCCAUUGUGAGUCCAUAUGGAGCUAUUCUUGAUGUAUUUCGACACAAAAUACUCCGGAAAUGGAGAAUAUGUGGUGAGUUAUUGACUGUAUAUAACCAUGUGUCUAUCACUGUUUUCUGUAUCUUAUCAUCUUGACGAUCAAAUACUUGAUACUUGCAGGAAUCCAUCCAAUUGAAUUGGUGGUUUAAGGCGAUUGCCGGAUUUGGUGCAGCAGUUGGUUUCUUGAUCUGUGGCAGGAGGCUGACACAAUGCCUAGGUGGAAGCUGAGUUAUAUAAGCAACUCAAGAGCACAAUGCCUAGGGGGAAGCUGAGUUAUAUAAGCAACUCGAGAGGCUUGGCAGCACAAUUGUCCACUGUGGCAGCAAUGAUUUUGGUUCAUAAGAUUAAGCUUCCCGUUUCAAGUGUUCAUGUUUUUGUUGGAUCGUUAGUAGGAUUGCAGGAGUCUUCUCGGUGUCUAUACACUCCCCAGCCUACGUGGUGCCCUAAAUCUGUCCCGAAUUGUUCUAUCAAUAAUUUCAUAAAUACCACCCAAAUAAUUUAAUUUGACAAUUUACCAACAAUAAGGGCUUACUUAUUAAUUAGAGAGGAUGUACCACUUCCAUAAUUUUUAACCCAACUUUUUAUGAAAGAGUAUCAUAAGUCAUAUAAGCAAGCCCCUCCUUAAAGGCAUUUUCGUGACUUCACGACCUCAACAUAACUUCUUGUAAAAAUAUUAAAGCUUAUCAGUAUAACAUAAUUGUCACUAACUCUAUUUGGCUUCUGUUGUGUCAUGAGCUUUUAAUAAAUGCUACUCUUACCCCAAGUCGUUUAAAAAACAUGAAAUAAUAAAACCACUCUUCACCGGGAGGCACAAGUAACGAGACAACAUAUUUAAAAAAUUAAUGACAAUUAAUAAAAGUGAUACAUUUUGCAUAAAAAGAAAGAUUUGAACUACCUAUGAUGAUUGAAAAUUCCUUGAGAGAUCAAAAAGAUAUUAAAGCACACUUUUGUAUUUUAAUGUUAUUUUUUAUGAUAAAAAUAUCACCGAGCCGUAAAAAUAUUUUUUAAAACGGUACGACAAAAUGCCUUUCUAGCCCUUGCAAAAUAUAAAAACCUUGUCAACUUGAGAUCGCUCUUUAGAUAUUUUACGACACUUAAAAGAAGUUAGAUUAGCCCACAAUUUUCUACUAAAAAAGGAUGUUCUUAGUCAAAUCGUGGGUCCCACGAGAUCACUGUGUGGCGAAAGGCCAUCGUUGAUUCGAAUCCUCACCGUUCAUCAAAGAGAUUCAGAAUCUCACGUGCCAAAAGUUGCCAGGUGGCUCCGGGGUCCGUCUUUCUUCGAGAUCUCUGGUCGUGGCGUGCUGCGAGUUCAAAUCCCAUUUAAAUUCUUCAACUUAUCUCUUAAAAAAAAUUAAAAACUAAAAAUAAAUCAAGUUGAAAGACCACGUAUCACUGAAAUAGGUAGGGCAUUGGCAGGUCGCAGCGGUUGGGGGUGCGAAAGAUUUGACUCGUCUGCUGCUCCUUUCUCAUUGUAUAUAACACUUUCGGCCAGCAUCUCUCUCUCUCUCCAAACAACCAAACAAUGGCGGCGGCUGUGUCAUCACCGUGCUCCCCUUCACUAGUGGCCCAGAAACCGAGUUUCCGAGUGGAUUUCCGGCAUGGGUUUUCCACAAGCUUCGAUUUUGGCCGCCAGAGGCCGCUCAAAUGGAAGAGUUACGGGCUGAAGAAGCUGGUUGUUUCUGCUAGCACCGGCAAUGCUGUUUCUGUCAGUGAUUCUGUGCCUUCAUUGACUAGUUCUAAGUGAGUACUCUUCGUUAUUAAAUUUGUUUUUUCUCUAAUUUACGUUCAAUUCUUUCUGGGUUUUCUUUGAAUGCAAUGAAGCUUUCAUUUUUUGGUAGUUUUGUGCCCUUUUUGGUUGAAAUUUGCUUGCUUUUAUUCUUGGGUUGAGCUGAAAAUUUGUGGGCUUUUAUUCUUGGAUUAAGUGCUUUUGUAUAGAAUAGAACUGUUUUAACAUUGUUAUUUUUGCCUUUAUUUAUUAAACAUUUAGUGACCAACAUAUAUAUUUUUCCCUCGGCGGGUAUUGGCUUUGAUAAUUUAAUUGUUCCAACCAAUCUGUUUUUUUUUUUUUUUUUUAAAGCUUUGGUAAAUCGACUUUGAUGGUGACCAGAACCAAAUUUUAUAUUCAAUUUUUUAACUUGAGUUAAAAAGAAUUAAAAAGAAUGUACCAAUGGAGUGAAAAACUGAUUUGGGAGUUAUACUUUUAUGGCAAGUUGUUGACCCUAAAAUCUACCAAGCCUACGUGGCGCGCAGGCCGAGUAUAUUCUAAGCUAACUACGUCCUUCGGUGAUUGCGGGGCGUGCCAACUCGUCGGCCGAGCUCGGCCGAGGAGUAAAUUUGAUGAUGUUGCGUUGAGCGCGCUGCUGACUUCUGUGUCUUGCGAUUGCGGCCGAGGAAGGAACAAUUCUCGGCCUCUUGGGUUCUAGAGCCUGAAGACAAGGCUGCUAAUUUGUGAAGUUCAAUCUCAAAUUCGGCUGUCAAUGUGCCGAAUACAGUAACCUGGUAACACCCCACUUCGCCGAGAAGGCUGAUGAGAUGACCUCGACCAAUGAGGAUUCGGAAAUCCUUCUCGACCGAGACUUGGAUAGGUAACCAGUCGUCCUCGCCGUAGUGCUGUUGAUGCCAACGGAAGAUGCUGCGAGAUCGGCUGAUUCUACGGUGACAGAGCUAUCUAUGCCGACUUAAGAUAUCACCGGUUGCCUUCACAGUGCUGUUGAUGCCAACGGAAGAUGUGUCGGCGAAAAAAGAAAAUAAAAAAUCUCAAGGUGUUGAGAAAGUUUGCGCAGGGCAGUUUUGUGUGUGUUGGAGGUCCCUUGAAUGAUGCACAGCCUCCUCUAUUUAUAGCACUAGAUACCUUUGAAGUCGAGUCAAAACCCUACUCGAACUAGGUCUUCUUCUCCGGAUCAAACACCCACUCGACCAGUCCUAUGUUUACUAGGAUUGUGAGCCUAGUCCUCUAUUGAGCCGGAUUCACUUCCGGGUUAUUACCCUUGCCGAGACUACUUAUCGCGUUAGGACUCGACUAGUAAAUGUAAUAUGACCUAGCCGACCUAGGUUUAGGAGCCCCACGUACUAAAUGAUCCAAGGCUCCCCUGUCGCCAGGCCUCCCGGGCCGAGAGUGGUUCUAUACUCGGCCCAACAUGUUAAUUUGAGCCCAAACACUCUUACUUGAAGAUAUAAUUUGCAUCAUAUCCAUCCCGUUUAAGAAUAUGUCAAGAUAAUUCAAAUUAAAAAGAUAAUCAUGAUAAAAACCAUAAUAUUAUUAUCUUUUAACAAAAAUAUUUUCACUUUUCCAUCCGACGGCUGAGAACUAUGUUUUACUCUACGGUCUCGAUUACACGGGCCGAUGAUGUAAAUUUGGGUCCAAACAUUGCCCCCCAGUUUCCUUGAACUUCGGCUCGUAAGCCGAAUGAUUAAGGAAAUUAAGUAUCUCCAGCCUAAUCAGAUGUACUUUUGACCGUCAUCCCUUGCUGCUGUUUACUCUCACGGCUCCUUUCGACCAAAGAACAACUCAUGGCCGAAGAUAAACAGUUAUGAACCAGGGUCGAGAAGAAUUGGAAUUGGGGUCGAGGAUAAAUUUGGCCGAGGUCGAGAAGAGUCUUUUCUUGGCAGCUCGGCCUGCCUACAUAUAUAUGCAUAUCAAACCCAUUGUCAGCAAUCAUGACUAUAUACAUAUAUAUAUAUAUAUAUAUAUAUAUAUAUAAACCUCAAAACAGCAACCAUGACUUAUUCGGCCAAACUUUGACCCUAGCAUCUUCCUGAUUAAAUGGUUUUGAAACUUGUCCCCACACUUUAACCAUAGGCAUGGUACUAUUGAUAGCAGCGAAAAUAACUCUUCUCGGGUCGGCUUGUUUGUCGAGCUCGGCUAAAAACAAAAUGACCAAAAUUUUGCCGAGCACACCACUUGUUGCCCCUCUUAUUUUCUUAAGUAUCGGUCAAGGGCCGAAUGGUUAAGAAAAUAAAAAAAUAAUUUAUUAUAUAUAAUUAUAUUUUUAGCAAACGAAAAGAAAAGUGGCCGAAACGUAGUCAGGAGGAGGCCAACGAUGCUUUAUUCCAAGCCAAGAUCUUUUUACAUCAAAAUUUUCACUUUGACAUUUUCCAAAACCGAAUAAAAGAUCAUCUCCCAAUAUUUCUGACUUGGUGAAAUAUUUUGCAUUUUCGGCCGCCGAAUGUGUGGAACAAGUAUUAUGCCCCCCAGGCAUAAUUUCGGCGUUUAAUUCAAACAACUUAGCCGAAUAGGAUUUCUCCAUAUCGACUUUAUCGCCAAAAUCAUCAUAUCAAUUGGCGUAGAUUCUUGGGCUAGGCCAAUAUCUCGGCCUCGUUCGUCAUUGGAGCACUCCUCUGACGAAUCAUUUUCUGAGUCGAUUUGUGGCUCAGAAACUUUAACUUUUUCUUCUAGGCCUACCACACUUCCAGUCUCGACCGACCGAAAAAAUAGGUGGCCUAGGUUUUUCUUCGUGGCCGACCCAUAUCUUCAGCCUCGACCGAAAAAAUAGGUGGCCUUUGUUCUUCGGCCAAAUUAACAAUUUUCUUAGGCCGAUGUCUGAUUACGGCCGGAGCGAAAAAUUGCCCCCCGGCCUUUGAGCCUAACCAUUUUUCAAAUGGAAUUGAUCUGUAAUCAGAAACGUAAGGAAAAUUUUCUUCAUCUAGCCAGGCAUUAAAUCGAGCCCUGUCUUCAUUUACCCAUUGCCUUUGCAGGGUAACAGGAGCUUUUAUUCUCAACAUGCAAGCGAAUGACUUUUGCAUCUCUCCAUGGCCACGAAGAACUUUUUCCACUUCCAAAGAUCUUUUACAUUCCUCAUUGUGUUUUCUCAAUUCCUCUAGGAGCUCGUACAAUCGGCUACGUUGAGCCAGAUUGGAAUCUUGAUAUAUCAUAUGAACUUCGUAGUAUUAGCACUGGGUCCCACCGGGCGUGCCAAAAUGUUGACCCUAAAAUCUACCAAGCCUACGUGGCGCGCAGGCCGAGUAUAUUCUAAGCUAACUACGUCCUUCGGUGAUUGCGGGGCGUGCCAACUCGUCGGCCGAGCUCGGCCGAGGAGUAAAUUUGAUGAUGUUGCGUUGAGCGCGCUGCUGACUUCUGUGUCUUGCGAUUGCGGCCGAGGAAGGAACAAUUCUCGGCCUCUUGGGUUCUAGAGCCUGAAGACAAGGCUGCUAAUUUGCGAAGUUCAAUCUCAAAUUCGGCUGUCAAUGUGCCGAAUACAGUAACCUGGUAACACCCCACUUCGCCGAGAAGGCUGAUGAGAUGACCUCGACCAAUGAGGAUUCGGAAAUCCUUCUCGACCGAGACUUGGAUAGGUAACCAGUCGUCCUCGCCGUAGUGCUGUUGAUGCCAACGGAAGAUGCUGCGAGAUCGGCUGAUUCUACGGUGACAGAGCUAUCUAUGCCGACUUAAGAUAUCACCGGUUGCCUUCACAGUGCUGUUGAUGCCAACGGAAGAUGUGUCGGCGAAAAAAGAAAAUAAAAAAUCUCAAGGUGUUGAGAAAGUUUGCGCAGGGCAGUUUUGUGUGUGUUGGAGGUCCCUUGAAUGAUGCACAGCCUCCUCUAUUUAUAGCACUAGAUACCUUUGAAGUCGAGUCAAAACCCUACUCGAACUAGGUCUUCUUCUCCGGAUCAAACACCCACUCGACCAGUCCUAUGUUUACUAGGAUUGUGAGCCUAGUCCUCUAUUGAGCCGGAUUCACUUCCGGGUUAUUACCCUUGCCGAGACUACUUAUCGCGUUAGGACUCGACUAGUAAAUGUAAUAUGACCUAGCCGACCUAGGUUUAGGAGCCCACGUACUAAAUGAUCCAAGGCUCCCCUGUCGCCAGGCCUCCCGGGCCGAGAGUGGUUCUAUACUCGGCCCAACAUGUUAAUUUGAGCCCAAACACUCUUACUUGAAGAUAUAAUUUGCAUCAUAUCCAUCCCGUUUAAGAAUAUGUCAAGAUAAUUCAAAUUAAAAGAUAAUCAUGAUAAAAACCAUAAUAUUAUCUUUUAACAAAAAUAUUUUCACUUUUCCAUCCGACGGCUGAGAACUAUGUUUACUCUACGGUCUCGAUUACACGGGCCGAUGAUGUAAAUUUGGGUCCAAACACAAGUGUAGCAAAAUUAAAAAAUACAGGCGAUGGUUGUGUCAAUGAGGAAUGAUUAGUUCAUUUCUAUAGUUUUGGCAACGAUGAUUUGGAAUCCCAGGUCGUGGACCUGGAAGUCUAUUUUGAUAUUUUGUCAUGAAUGUGCUAGAAAUUUUUAAUCUGGAAAGAAUUUAGGGUGAUUUCAAGUUUUCAAUUCUAAUUCUAUAAUGAUUUCAGGGUCAAGCGCCAUACGAUUUCAGUGUUUGUUGGGGAUGAGAGUGGAAUCAUAAACCGAAUAGCAGGGGUUUUCGCCAGGAGAGGUUACAAUAUCGAGUCUCUUGCUGUUGGUUUGAACAAGGACAAGGCUCUUUUUACCAUAGUUGUGUCUGGAACUGGAAAGGUUUUGCGACAGGUCGUUGAACAGCUUAACAAGUUGGUGAAUGUGAUAAAGGUUAGUGGACAUCUUUAGUAUUUUGUUUAAAACCUUUUGGUAGUUUUUGCAUUAUCUUCACUUAUACUUCUGCUUUAUCAGGUCGAAGACAUCUCAAGGGAGCCACAAGUAGAACGUGAAUUGAUGCUUAUCAAACUUAAUGCGGAUCCAAGUACACGUGCAGAGGUAAAUUUUGGACCAUCCAACCAAUAUUUGGAUAGACCUAUUCCUGUUGAUACGUUUAAAUGAUCCACCCUAAGAAUAAUCAUCAGUAAUAUGAGGUUUUAAUUCAUCGUGUAUAAUUCUCUAUAGAUAAUACCAAAAGAUGUAAUUGUUCCACAGAACUUGUUGAUUUGUUAUACAUCCUUGGUUGAUCUCUAUUAUAUAUAUAUAUAUAUAUAUAUCUGAUUUUGGGCCCAUCAACCACGUGUGUAUUAGACUAUUAGGCUGUUGUGCUCUGCAAUGGUUAUGUAUUGCAGGCUUCACUGAUGUGGUUACCUUAUAUUUGUUGCAGGUGAUAAUUCUUGGAAUUAAACCAUUAAACUGAAGUUAACUUCUAGUUUGAUGAUGGUUAUCAGCACUGUUUGAGAUACUCUUUUAUCAUUUUAGUCAUUAUUUUACCUGAUAAUGUUCCUUUGUGUGUAUUUUCAGAUAAUGUGGUUAGUGGACAUCUUCAGAGCAAAAAUUGUUGAUAUCUCGGAACAGUCGCUGACAGUUGAGGUGAAUUUUGAUCCUUAUGCCUCAACUAGUUGUUGCAGUUUGUUGAUGUGUUCAUUUUAGCACAUAUACUUAAUUGUCUAUCCCAGUUGAUAACUUAGGUGUCACUUUAGCACAUAUACUUAAUUGUCUGUCCCGGUUUAUAACUUAGGCACCCAGGCACCUAUAACCUUACAGAUGACGAACUUGUUGAGAAUUUUAUCUGGAGGAUACAUUCUGAUUAAUGAGGCAAAAACCAUUACAGUUUGUUAUAAUGCACUAGUUCUUGUUGAUUGUGGUAUAAAAUUAUAAAGCAAUUAAGUUGUUUAUUUGUUUUCUUAUUUUCUCUGAUAAAAACAAUGCAACAGUUAUCUAGAAAAGGAGUAUAUUAAGUCAUAAUGACAAUGCGUUAUAACAUUUUAGAAUAAUUUCUCAAUGUUAGAUUAGUUAAACUGGUGAAGUCAUGAAUUUUGUUUAUAAUGUGAUUUAACCGUACUCCAUGAGCAGUUGAUGUCAUUUUGUUGUUUGGUUCGCUCAACCUACAUUUGUAGCUCUAGGAAAUUUUAUAAAUUGUUUUAGCCAAUAUCCUUUUGCCAUACAAAGUGUGUGCAAACUUGUAAUUUUUUUAUGGCCUCUUAUAGUAAUUCUGGUACCAAGUCCAUCUAUGCUUACAAAAUCAGUUCAUCUCAGGUUACUGGAGACCCUGGGAAGGUGGUUGCUGUUCAAAGAAACUUAAGCAAGUUUGGAAUCAAAGAACUUGCAAGAACUGGAAAGGUAAGUUGUAUAUUUGCAUUCUGAUGUUUAUGCGUAUACAAAGAUGUCCAUUUAUGCAUGUGUUAAUGGGUGCAACCCUCUAAAACAACGCCAUGCAGUGUGUCAUAUGUGUAUGAUAUCCAAUAAUUAAACGGUUCUUGAGUGGCCAAAGAACUUGAACUGUCAAGUUGUUCACGACUAACAAUAUGGAAUGGUAUUCCUGAAAUGCUUGAUUUCUCUUGUAUAUCUUCUCCCAAAAUGCAUUUUGAACUUGCAAUCAAGUUCUCUGCGUGUUAUAUGUAAAUGCAAGAGCAAGCAUUUUUGUUCUUGUCUUUUCAGUUUUCACAUAUGUGCUUCCAUUUAUUUUAAACGAUGCAUAUCAGGGUGGUCAGGUAACUAUGCUACAGUCUAGAUGUUGACACUUUUUUUUCUCUCUUCAAUCUUUAUUGCAUUACGCAAGUAUCAUCUAAUUUGACUCUUUUAACAGAUUGCUUUGAGACGAGAAAAGAUGGGUGCGACAGCUCCUUUCUGGAGAUUUUCUGCAGCUUCUUAUCCAGAUCUUGAAAAGUCCACGUCUGAUGAUGACCUUGCAGUGAAAGCAAAUGGUACACUCAAUGGUGAUGCUGGUACCGCCUCAAGGGUAUAUAUGUUGUUCUUUUUCUAUCAAGCUGAUUUCAUAUGCGCAGUUAAUAUCUCUGCGGGCAUGGUAUUUAAUUCUGAUAUAUGUGGAAUCAUUUUUGGUAAGGCUGAAAGAGGUUCUCCUAUCAUAUAUUGGGUGCCCUGUUCACAAUACAUUCCAGAUAAUGUUUAGUUAUUUAUAUGCCGCACAACAAAGUAUGUUGUCCUUCAUUAACUGUUAUAAUUUACAACGAUAACAUGUAGGUGCACAACUUUUACUCUUGUCUUGGCCAUUUUGGAUUGAACAUAAUUGAACCUCAUUUCAUUAUUGCAGGGAGAUGUUUAUCCUGUCGAGCCCUAUGAUGACUUCCGUUCGAAUAAAGUUCUUGAUGCUCAUUGGGGUGUUCUCUAUGAUGAAGAUGUAAGUUUCUUUACAAUAUUCAAAUCACGUUGUGUUUCACUUUAAGUCCAAAUAUUGCCUGGUAUGAGACACACAAGGUGGAAAAAGUCGAUGUAUCUGCUUAGGAAGUAGGUUCUACAUAUUUAAUUCAUGUUUGUUUUACUCUACAAAUUGAAACCUAACCUGUGGCAUUCAUUUUAAUCUGCAGUCAAGUGGGGUUCAAUCCCACACUUUGUCUAUGAUUGUGAAUGACUCUCCUGGGGUUCUAAACAUAGUUACAGGAGUCAUAUCUCGAAGAGGUUAUAACAUUCAGGUUUGUUGGUUCUGAUUUGCGCUCACUUUUUAUAUUUGGUAUUCUUGGGCCUUUGCUCAUGUGAUUAUUGGAUUUCAUUUCAUACUCCUAGAGCCUAGCUGUGGGGCCCGCUGAAAAGGAGGGGCUUUCUCGCAUUACAACAGUUGUUCCCGGUACAGAGGAUUCAAUUUCCAAGUUGGUUCAGCAACUUCACAAGUUAAUAGAUCUUCAUGAGGUGAGGGUUGCUGAACUUACAUGUUCACAAGUUUCUUUUGAGAAUUUAGAAUAUUCAUUUUGGUUGAUGAUUGAGUAAUCUAUUAAAGAAAACUUAAAAUUGUUAGAUUUUGGCUAUUUGGAAGAUAUACAAAUUUUGUUCGUAGUUAUGGAGUUACAAUAUUCAAACAUACAAAUUAUAUAAUCUAUUGACAAAGCUUGUACACGUUUGAAACUCUGCAUGUUCGAUUCUAAUCACCUUUUGCAAGUUAAAAGCCAUUGUUUUGGUAGCAGUCUGAUCGAUGUGGAAGGUUGGGGUUGAUGACUAAAGUAGUACUAUGAGUCUAGGGCCCAGGACCCAGGAUCUAUUUUUCCCUUUUUUUUUCCCUCUCCAUAUUUAAGUGAAUCAAAAUAUGCUCCUCAGUUAUCUCAGUCACUGAUAAUAGGCAGCCUUGAUAAUAUGAUCCUUACCCAUUUCAACAUUGAUGAGUUAAUGAAUUUUAAUCUUGAGAUGAUGAAAUUUUUCCAAGGUUAUUCUCAAAAUAAGAUUUGUUCGUGCCUUCACGGAUGAUGACGCUGGUUGUUUCUCCAGGUUCGGGAUAUUACUCACUCACCUUUUGCUGAGCGAGAGUUGAUGUUGAUAAAGAUUGCUGUGAACGCUACUGCUAGAAGGGAUGUUCUUGAUAUUGCCAGCAUUUUCCGCGCUAAAGCUGUUGAUGUAUCUGAUCACACAGUUACCCUUGAGGUUGAAGCCUUGUCCUGCAUUACUAUGAUACUAUCUACAUAUUGUGAUUAUUAUUAUUAUGAAUUAGUGUAACGGAAUCUGUUGAGAAGUUCUACCUUCGAACAGGAUCAAUUUCACUGUAAUUUUUGUAUUUAGUUCUACCAAUAAAUGCUGUUACUGCUAGUCUUACUAAAAUUUACUCAUGAUUGUUUUCAGCUUACUGGUGAUUUGAAUAAAAUGGUUGCACUGCAGAAGUUACUAGAGCCCUACGGGAUUUGUGAGGUUUGUCUUCUCAUUCUUUUGUUGGUCUUGUACUGAUCAGUUAAUUAGCAUAUAAAUUUUCAGGUUUUCACAUGAGCUCGGUCCUCAUAUCUUAACAUUUUUCCCCUCCUUGAAGGUUGCACGGACUGGGAGGGUGGCGUUGGAGCGGGAGUCUGGUGUGGAUUCCACAUAUCUCCGCGGAUACCCUCUUCCAUUGUAAUGCUGAGUUCCUCAUCCGCUUCCUAUCAUGGCUGGCCAGGUUAUGUGCGGUUUUUCCGGUCCAUUUCGACCAGCUCACUUUGUGCCUAUUAGCCAUAUGAUAAGGAAUAAAAAUCCAGUUGGGCUGUUAGGUCUCAGGGAAGAGUGAAUCAACAUGCAUGGAAGUUCAAGUCUCUGAAUGUUUUCUCCUUUUUUCUUUACUCUACGAGGAGGGAUCGACCAACCUCUAACUUGAAGGUUGUCGAUAAACCCUGGAUAGAGGAUCCGACUCCCGCGACCCUUGUAUUUGGUAAGCCGAAGCAUUGCGUUCGAGGGUGUUUGAACCUCAUGUCCCCAUGCUGGUUAAAGUUAAGAAGCUAGAGUGUACGAGUGUUUUAAGACAUAGGAGGUUAUUCAGUUUGUGUUGUAUCAGUGUAACAAACACAUGUGUGAACAUCUUAGACGCUCUUCUAAUCAAAUAUAAGGAUAGAACAAAACUCUUAUUGUUCGUUUUCGCCUGUUUGAAACAAAUGGCAUGAAUAUUCAGAAGCAAACACGGCUGAAAUCAUUGGAACUCAGCAUUGAUGCAGAGAAGAAAGGAGAAACCGAGAAAAGAACCCGACUUGUCAAAAUCCCAAGUGAAAGAUAUCAGAUUCGACUUUGCUCUCCAUGCCGGAGAAGUAUCGCUGAAACCAAUCGACAAUAGCCUAAAAAGUGCAACCACAAAAGCUUGGAACACCAAACAGAAGCUAAAAGCUUAGCUCGCUUACUCUCUUCUGAAGCAAAAGGCAAAUCCGGGUGAAGAGAAAAACAGAACCAACUUCACAGAAAAAUAGUAAAAAAUAAGACAAAAAGAAAUGGCCCAUACAGGUCUCGAACCUGUGACCUUCGCGUUAUUAGCACGACGCUCUAACCAGCUGAGCUAAUAGGCCGGUUGAUGUUGUGUUCGCUUUUUCUAUAUUUAAUUGAACGAAAUUGUCGGAACGAUAGAAAUUUCCUGGUUCAAUAAUUUUAAGAAUCAUACAGUUACUACCCUUUUGAUUAGAAAUUCUCCUAAAGCUUGUCCACUGGAUAAGAUCUGAUCGAUGGUUGUCGUUGUGGGUAGUUGGGUUGUUGCUGCUAGUGCUUCGAUUGGUUGCAUUCUACUCUCCAAAAGUAUGCGAUGCAUGCAAUCUUGGUUGAAUUACACCUCCUUAAAUUAUUGGUUUCAGAAGAAGCCUCUCAUCAACUCAUCCCAAAGCACUUCCAUCUUCAAAAGUGCGGUACAAUGACAAAUCAAAUCAAAUCACAUCAAAUAACAUUUGUCCCUACCAUGCAAGUUGCAACGUGCAACAACAAAAAAGAAGAAUUGGUACUUAAAACUCAAAAGCAUGUAAUCAGGAACUUAAUUAUAAAACAAUCUGGUACAUUAAUUGUUAUAAUACGAUUAGUUAGAAUUUUUAAGUUUAUAACCAAUUUUAUUAUUAUUUUUUAUGUACCGGAUCGUGUUUUCGUAACACUAAAAAAUUUCUCCAAUUUAUCAAUUAAACCAUUUCAUUCACUCUUUCGUGAAUUUCAAAAUCGAAAUGAUGGUAGUAGGAUGCUGAAAUCUUACCAUUGACAAAAUGAGAAAGAAAUGCAUAUUGACUAGUAUAUGAUUGUGAACUAUGAGCUUUUAUAUAGGCUAAAUUCAAUGUUUAAAGUUAGGGUUACAAACAAGAACAUGUACAUCAUGGAAAGAAAACAUCGCCGCCGACGAAAUUAGUUAUCUUAUUUCUCCAAAAUUUUCAUUUAUAUUCUAUGCUAACGUCUAUCCAAGAAGUCACGUUAUGUACAAUAUCAUUUAGUUGCUCCCAUUCCAUGCAUAUAAAAGCCACCGCAGAUGGCAUGCUAUUCAGGUCACUAUCAAAACUCUAAAUGCUGUAUCAUGCACUCCGUCUGUUGGAAACCCUUUUCUUCUUCUUAACCAGUAUAUUAAUAUUUCUCUUAGUUUUGGCACCCAUGGCAUCUGCAAGUCGAACCUACCCAACACCAAAUGUACCGGAUUAUAAAAGCCAAGGCGCUUCGGAGAAGCCUGCAGCUGUGCCUCGGCUGGUGUUGUUAGAUUUGCAGGAGAGGCUAGUGGCUGUUUUUCAUCAUGUUCUUUCUAAGCGUCCUGUCCCGCCUUCUAGUCCAAGUCAUAGAAGUAACAAGGCUCCUAAUUCCUCAAGGCAUUUGUUAUAAAUUAGUCCAUGAUUUAGCUCAGUAGUUGUAUUAGUUUGCAGUUUUUAGCUUGUGGCCUUAUCUUCCGAUAUGGAAGGAAAAUGAGGCCUUGAACUUUUGUGGGUUUCUCCAGCCCUAAUUGAAUGUACCAGGAACAUGUUGUAGACAUCGAAAUUUCGGUAAAUAAAUGUUGACCGAUAAAUCAAAGUGUCAACGCUCAUGUAUUACAUAAAUUUUACACGUAGCGUGUGACUCAACGAAAAUUGAAAUGAGUUGGAAAAGUCAUCAAAUAGGACACGUGUCAACACCUGGCAGAAACGACUUAUUUCAUCUGGGAUAUUAUAUUCAAAAUUAGGCAUUGGAAAAUUCUAUAAAUACAAGCCCAUUUCAUUCAUUUCAAGGGGAAAAAAUUCAUAUUACACCUUAAAGCUCUGAAGCUCUGAAACUCCGAAGCUCUCAAGCAUCCAAGUUCCCGAAGAAUCAAGAAAGCCUUCUUCGUUCUUCGUUCAUCGUUCUUCCAAGAUCAAGCCCCGGCGGCCCUUGGAUCAACAAUCAUCCACCAAUUCAAGAUCAAGCCCCGACGGCCCUUGAAGAAAGUGUUCUUCGUUCAUCGUUCUUCCAAGAUCAAGCCCCGACAGCCCUUGAAGAAAGCACCAUCGUUCAUCAUCCGUUCAUCCAAGAUCAAGCCCCAACGGCCCUUGGGAUCAACAAACGUCGACAAAUCCACACACAUCCAACCGUUCUUCAAGAUUAAGCCCAAAAGCCCUUGAAGAUCUGUUCAUCACUGUUUCUUCAAGAUCAAGCCCAAAAGCCCUUGAAGAUCUGUUCAUCACUGUUCUUCAAGAUCAAGCCCAAACGCCCUUGAAGAUCCGCUCAUCACCGUUAUUCAAGAUCAAGCCUCAAACGGCCCUUGAACAAACAUUCAUCCUCAAGAUCAAGCCCCAACGACUCCUUGAAGAUCCGCUCAAACCCACCUUCAAAGAACAAGCCCACGGCCCUUUGAAGAAACUUCCAACUGUUCAUCUAAGAUCAAGCCUCGACGGCCCUUGGAUCAACGAAACACCCACCAAUCAACACCUUACGAAGAUCGAAUCAGAGGAUAAAUUUGAGAGAGAUUGUAACCCAAAAUCAUCAAAUACAAUAUUUGUUUGUGCACGUUUGUUCUUGUCUCUUUCGUUUCAGGAAUUUUCCGUGUUCACAAAUUGGCACGCCCGGUGGGACAAUCUCUGCCUCUCAUCUCUUUCUCCGUUCAAGAAAUUCAAGCGCACUUCCAAAAUUAAUGGCAUCAAGGAAGGCUCAAACUGUUCUCGCAACCGGCGCAAAGAACAAAAGCGUCCUCGUCGCAACUGGUGUCACUUUGGGCAUCACAACUCGAAGCAUGGCAAGAGCUACUUCUGCCACCUCUUUCACCUCUGCAUCAACUCUGCCAAGGGAACAAGAGCACUCAAGGCACGAGCCUUUGAUCACCUUAGCCUCACUAAGGGCACCAAGGGGGGGAAGCCCGAGGAAAUACUCUGAAUCCAUGCUCUCCGAUGCCGAUUCAAGCGGCAGUGCAACCAUGCAAGUCAUGACCAUUGGAGUAACUUCAAUCGAUGAGCAGCUGGCUCAGAUGAAUGAAGCAAUCGCAAGGCUAACCCGAACUGUGGAAGAAAAAGACUUGCAAAUUGCAGCACUCGUCAAUCGACUAGAGGCGUAGGACGGCGAUAAACCCGACCCAGAGAAUGAUCCACUAAAGAGAAGAGAUGACGAAGAAGAUGAGCCUCAGGUGGAGAAAAACGAUGCAAAGCCGGAGCCAGACCAAGCAGCGGCACUCAUGGGAUCUCUUUCUAUCCAGCAGCUGCAAGAGAUGAUCACCAACACCAUCAAGGCACAGUACGAAGGGAGCUCAAAUACCUCCGGGUUGUACUCAAAGCCGUAUUCAAAGAAGAUCGACGCCUUAAGGAUGCCGAGGGGUUAUCAACCACCAAAGUUCAUGCAAUUUGAUGGAAAGGGAAACCCGAAACAGCACGUUGCCCACUUCGUUGAAACUUGCAACAACGCAGGAACCGAAGGGGAUUACCUCGCCAAGCAGUUUGUGCGCUCGCUGAAAGGAAACGCCUUUGAGUGGUACACAGACCUAGAGCCUGAGUCCAUCAACAGCUGGGAGCAGUUAGAGCGGGAAUUCCUCAACCGCUUCUAUAGUACCCGCCGCACUGUGAGCAUGCUAGAGCUAACGAGCACAAAGCAGUGGAAGGACGAGCCAGUCAUUGACUACAUCAACAGAUGGCGCACUCUAAGCCUCGACUGUAAAGAUAGGCUCUCGGAAACCUCUUCAAUCGAGAUGUGCAUCCAAGGCAUGUAAUGGGGUUUGCAAUACAUCCUUCAAGGCAUUAAACCGCGGACCUUCGAGGAAUUGGCCACUCGCGCCCAUGACAUGGAGUUGAGCAUCGCCCAUCAUGGGAAGAAAGAAUCGAUCGCCGACUACAAGAACGACAAAGUUCUUGGGACAAAGGUGGAAAAGGCUGCAUGGAAACCCACCAAGGAAGCGAUGACGGUCAACACAGCUCCCGUCAAAAUCUCCACACGAGGCAAGGCGAUUCAAGCCGAAGGCUUUCGUGAUCAAGAGAUGCGUAGACGCACUUUGAAGGAGCUUGAGGAGAAAACUUAUCCAUUCCCUGACUCUGAUGUGGUUGCCAUGUUAGAAGACUUGCUGGACAAGAAGGUGAUCAGUUUGCCUGAGUGCAGACGGCCGGAAGAGAUGAAUCGUACCGACAGUCCAAGAUACUGUAAAUUCCACCGCUUCAUCAGUCAUCCGACAGAAAAAUGUUUCGUGCUGAAAGAUCUCAUCAUGAAGCUGGCUCAGAAAGGAAUCAUCGAGCUAGAUCUUGACGAAGUGGCGAAGUCAAACUAUACCACCUUCACUUCUGGCUCUUCCGACUCAAAGUUUUCACCUCAACCGCUGGGGGCAUCGUCCAAGACAAGCAAAAUUGAAGGAUGGACUCAAGUCACUCCUAAGAAAUUGCACAAGAAGCAUACGUCUCCUCCACAAGUCCGCCAAUCGGAAAGGGGGCAAAGCAGCUCUUGUCAACCUUUAAAGCAACGUGAACGUGUUGAAGAUGAUGAAAUUUCGACAUAUAGAUCGUCCAUCCCCAUCACGAUGCGUGAUUUCUUGCCCGAAGACUUCUUCAAUCACUCGGUCAAGGCUCCUUGCUAUGAAGAUUGUGAGGAACGCCUCUCCAAAAUUGCUUGACAAAUUCACCAAAGCUCAUUGUCCGCACGAGCCUAAACUGUAGGACACGAGGCUCCUCGCCUGCACGAGCCUAAACUGCAUGGCACAAUGCUCCUGAUCCGCACGAGCAUAAAAGGCGACAUCAACGCUCAUGGUCUGCACGAGCAUAAAAGGCAACACCAACGCUCAUUGCCUGCACGAGCUGAAACUGCAACACGGCACCAAAUGCUCCUUGUUCGCACGAGCCUAAACUGCAUGGCACUAAGCUCCUGGUCUGCACGAGCAUAAAAGGCAACACCAACGUUCCUUGCUGGCACGAGCUGAAACUGCUCCACGGCACCAAACACUCCUGGUUUGCACGAGUUUAAAAGGCGACACAACACACUCCUUGCCUGCAUGAGUUAAACUGCAAACAGCACAAAAAGAAAAUACCAAGAAAAAAAAAUGUAUUUUGAACUACGUUUUGACUUGAUCUCUUUGUUUGGAAGGGUACGUAGGCAGCUCGAACAUUCAAUUUCGAAUUCAGUCACAUCAACAUAAAAAAUAAAUGCUUUAUUGAAGAAGGUCAAUUUUAUUACAAAUUUAUUUGCAAUUUUCUUUGUACAAAAUUAAAUUACAGUUUCUUUAAAAAAAAAAAAGAAAAAAAAAGAAACAAAGGAAGAAAAAAAGAAACAUAUAUAUAUAUAUAUAUAUGUAUGUAUGUCUCGGCCCAACACCAAGCUCCAGCACCAACAAUGGUCCAGACAGAUCCCAUGGCCCAUCCUCAUUCAGCUCCUAAACCCAAGACCAAAUAUGGGCCCAUCAACUUCUUCGCCCACCAGGCCCUAAUCCCCGGACGACAAGUCGUCUUCUCCCAGCGCGCUCACCAUCUCCGUCUCUCUCCGUCGUCUCCUCGAUCCAGCCUGCAAGUACCGACCUCUGGUUCCCACACAAUCGAUUCGACUGGCCAUUGUUUCUUUCUGUAAGAAAUGUUUGAGAUAGAGAGAUUCAAUUUCUAUCCACUGUGUAUCUAUAUGUAUAUGUGUGGUAUACAUCCUGUAUGAUCUGAUUUGGGAAUUAGGGCUUUGAAAUUCGAUUGCGUGGAGGAAAGAGUGGUAGUCGGAAAUGGCUUACAGAAGAAGGCAGCAGGUUUCGUCGUCAUCAUCGACAUCAAGCACGAGCUUUUAAUUUGAAGAAGAGGAAGAUAAAUCUCGAUACCCACUACAUUCUCUGCAGUCCGACGAAUCGCUUGCGGCUAAAGCUAUUCGAGACUCGUCGGCGCAUCGCGACUCCUCUCUCUCCUCCGCUUACGCUGCUCGCGGUGCUCGCCUGCUCUCUGCAAGCCUCCCCUGCCCAUCAUCUCCUCCAUCGAGCAGGAGAAGGAAAGCCGCAACGACGACCACGCUUCCUUGGUCCCCGACUACCGAUCCAAGAUCGAGACCAAGCUCUCCAACAUCUGGGACCGCCCUGAGAGAGAGAUGGCGAGGAAGCCGACAUCUUUAACCUGCAGAAUUUGCUAGAAUCCUCCAGCUUUCUUUCGUCAAACAUUUCCGCUAUAAAAAUUAAAACCCAAUUACAAAUCCCGGCGUGGCUCUCUCCGGCAAUACUUUGGUGUUUGUACAGAAUGUGGGAAACUCUUGUAAAGGAGUGGGAUGCUUAUUAGAGUUUGCAGGAAUCCGACCUGAAAGGCUUCAGCAUGACCCAACAUUGAGGACUUGUGACUUCGCUAGAUUGUACUCUGGUCCUGUCCUGAGUCUCUUUACAAAAUACCAAACGCUGGAGUAUCUUGAUCUAUCAUACAAUCAGCUUCGCGGGAAAAUCCCUGAAGAAAUGGGGGACAUGAUUGCGUUGCAAGUUCUUGAGUUAUCCCACAACCAGUUAUCAGGGGUCAGCUGAGUACACUUCCUGCUACCCAGUAUGCUAACAACCCUGGACUCUGUGGGGUCCCAUUGCCCGAUUGCCAGAGCGGCAACGACCAACCAUCCACGACUCUGAGCGAUCAGGAUACAGGCAAACAAAGUCGCAGGCCAUCAGUUGCGUCAUUGGCUAACAGCAUUGUCGUGGGGGUUCUGAUUUCUCUUGCUUCGGUCUGUGUUCUGAUUGUGUGGGCAAUUGCAAUGCGCACAAGGCGAAAGGAAGCAAAGGAGGUGAAGAUGCUUAAUCGUUUGCAAGCAUCCCAUGCGGCAUGGAAGAUUGACAAAGAGAAAGAACCCUUGAGCAUUAAUGUUGCAACUUUCCAAAGGCAGUUGAGGAACCUCAAGUUUUCCCAACUCAUUGAGGCAACCAAUGGCUUCUCGGCAGAUAGUCUUAUCAGGUGUGGAGGUUUUGGGGAAGUGUUCAAGGCAACGCUGAAAGACGGGUCAAGUGUUGCAAUAAAAAAAAACUUAUACGGCUGAGCUGCCAAGGUGACCGUGAAUUCAUGGCCGAGAUGGAAACUCUGGGGAAGAUCAAGCAUAGGAAUCUUGUGCCUUUAUUGGGUUAUUGCAAAAUUGGCGAAGAGAGGCUGCUAGUAUAUGAAUUCAUGGAGUACGGAAGCCUCGAAGAAAUGCUCCAUGGGAGAACAAAGACCCGUGAUAGGCGGAUGCUAACAUGGGAGGAAAGAAAAAAGAUUGCAAGAGGACGGCGGCGUGGAGCAAGUUUGUCUUUUGGGGAGCCCUGGGAAUUAACGAGGUGGAGUCUGUUGGCUGUGCUCGGUGGUUGUGCUCACCUUCUCCUUCUGCCCAUCAGCUUCAGCAGCACGUACAGCCCCUCCUCCUCCGUCUCUUGCCUCGCAGCUGCCAACGACUUCAACGACCGCCGUCAAACGACUAGCCGGUCGUGAAGCUCGAAGCACCAUCUUCUCCGUCCUCCUUGCUCCGCUGCCUGCAAAUUUCUCUACCCAUCAUCAACAUUUAUACAAAAAAUAUAUAUUAAAAAAAUAGGAUGGUGGAGCAAAGCAAAGUGGUGCAUCUGGCACCACGUGAAAAAAACGGGAAUGGUGGAUCAAGCACCAUGUGGAAGCAGACGAAAAUAAAAUAAAAUAAAAUAAAUUAAUUAAUUAAUUAAAUUAAAGAAGGUGGAUUCUUGGUGGCUAGCACCAUGCAAAAAAAAAAACAAAGGGAAAAUGGGUUUUGGGAUGGUGGAUCACUCCACGUGAAGAAAAAAAUAAAAAAAAUAAUAAUAAUAUAUAUAUAUAUAUAUAUAUAUAGCAAAAAAAAAAACAUUAAGAGAAAUAAAAGUCCAUUUUAUUUAUUUUUUCUGGAAAUUUUACAUAAAAUUGCAUUCUACACACCAAAAAAAAUAAAAUAAAAAUAAUAAAAUAUAUAAAUAAAAAAUAAAAAAUAAAAAAUUUUACAAAUGUGCAAACAAACGGGAGGGAGUCUUUAUUGCUCAGGUGGUGUCUCAGUACUCGGUGGAGCUCUAGGAAAAAGAGACGUCGGAGGUUGACUGUUUGAAGUCACACCACUCGGUGGAACUCCAGGAAGAAGAGGAGCCGGAGGUUGAUCAUGAGGAGCUUCAUUACGCGGUACAGCCCCAGAAGACGAAGGCAAAUGCUGCUGGAACAAACCCACAAACCGCUGAUGAUCAAGUAAAAUCUGACCAUCAGAUUCCUGCAUCUGGUCAAUCUUCCUCUUCAUGUUUGUCGCAUAGCUAUGUGCGAGCUUAUGCAACUGUUUAUUCUCCUGCUUGAGCCCUCUAAUCUCCUGUUUGAGACUCAUCACUUCCGCCGCCAAUGAUUCAACUUGACGGGUUCGAGCAAAUAGGCGUUGGGCCAUAUUAGACACAGAACCUGCACACUGCACACUGAGAGCCAGAGAAUCCUUAACAGCCAACUCAUCAGACCGUUUGGAAAGUAGUCUGUUAUCUCUGGGAGUGACAAGGUUUCGGGCCACCACCGCAGCGGUCAUAUCAUUCUUCACCACCGAAUCCCCAACCGUAAGAGGACCAGUAGGGGAUAUGAAGGAUGGGCGCCAUAUGUUGUCUGGAGAAGGCGGGACUGCCUCUUCACCAAGAUUCAAGUCAAAACGACGAUCGGAGGGUCCUGACAUUUUCAAAGUGUUAAAGAAAGAAGAGGUCGGACGAAUCAAGAUCUUAGAAGUGCAAGAAGGGAGUUUUCACAAGUAAAAUUCAAGUGUGCUUUGAAACGAACAGCGUGCCUCUAUAAAAAACAGCACUGGACGGGAUUUCAGAGAUCGAAGAGGCGAGCUCAGAAUUCGAAGAGGCCAUUCAAAAAUCGAAGAGGCAAGCUCAAAAAUCGGAGAAGCAUCUUGCUUUUCCAGACGCAUCGGCACCCGUCACACGCAAACUCAGCUUUGCGAAAAUCACGGGCAAUUUGUCGAAGCACCGAUCCCAGUUAUCGAAGAGGCGCCCGUCUUUUUCAGCCGCGUCAACACCUGUCACAUGCACACUCAGCUUGGCGGAAAUUACGGACAAUUUGUCGAAGAUUUCUGAUAAAGAAGAAAGCACGUGAAGCCAUACUGAUCAAUCACGCAUUGGUUGCUGACACGAGUGAAAGAACAGUACCUCUACAGGUAUUAAGGAACUCCCUAUAACUGUCCACCUUCACCUUCCAUAGCAAGGCAGACAUACAGAGCCUUUCUUCAUCUCCAAAAAAAAUGUUUUCCCAACGAAGCCUCUCGAGUCAUUCAGUGUUGCUUAUUCCUUGGGGUACCUCUGCAAGCCAAUGACUCCAAAGCAAAAGUAUCUCAUAUCACCAGGGUAGAAAGCAAGAGUAUCUCAUAUCAUGCGUUCUCCCUGUCCUUUCAUUUGUCCUUGUUCUUACCUACAAAGACAAGGAUAAAAAAAACAAUAUGCCGGAACUUCCAUUCAAACUCGGGUAAGGAACCGACUGCUUGGAACCCUUCCCUGAUUGCCUACCUAGCACUGCUCUCGAGUACUCGUUUCCCACUGCUGCUGUACUUCCAAAGAAGCUGCCACAUCUGCCUGGAGAACAGAUAAGGCAAGUGAAAAUGACACCUUGCAGCAUGUGGAGACAAGGUGCAGAAGGAACAAGCAGAGAAGAAUGCAGUCUGCACAGUCAACUCAGCAGAAGGAGUCCGAGCUGAACAACUCGAGAAGCUGCCAUAUCUGCCUGAAGAAACAAGCAGAGAAGAAUGCAGCAUGCUCAGUCAACUCGGCAGAAAGAGUCUGAGAUGAAGAACUCGAGAAGAUGCCACAUAUGCCUGAGGAACAAAUAAAGGAAAUGAAGAUGAUACCUUGAAGCAUGUGGAGACAAGUGCAACCAAGCACGUGCCGAUUCAUCCGCUACUUCUUCAAAAGCAAGAGUAUCUCAUAUCAUCAAAGUUGCAAUCACUCUGACGGUGAAUUCGUUUUGGCCCUCAAAUUCUUGGGUCGACUUACUAGGCGUUGUAGGCUGCACGUGCCGAUUCACCACCCUUGAAUCAAAUCCUUAAAGAUCAAGUCACUAACUGGAAGAAAAGCCCAUCAAUCUUGAAGAUCAUACCGUUGACCAAACUGCUCAGGUGUGAAUUAGAAAGAUUGAACAGAGCAACAAGUCGUCACCUUCACCUCGUGCCUGCUUGUCAUGUGUUCAAGUCAACCUUCAAGGAUCAAGCCCUAACGGCCCUUGAAGAAGUUUCCAACCAAAUUCAAGAUCAAGCCUCGACGGCCCUUGAGGAAAUCACAAGUCCGAUUCAAGAUUAAGUGUCUACCACCCUUGAAUCAAAACCUAGUUCAAGAAUAAGCUGUGGAAAAUCAACAAUUGGAGGAAUCCAGAAAAUCCUCCAACCCAGUUCAAGAUCAAAGCUGUGGAAAGUCAACAAGCGCAACAAAAUACGUGCCGAUUCAUCCAUUACCAAAGCCAAAGAUCAUCUACCACAUGAAGCUCCUGGUGGCCCAAUUUCAACCUUCAAGAUCAAGCCUCGACGGCCCUUGAAGAAAUUUCAAACAAAAGUUCAAGAACAAGCCUCAACGACCCUUGAAGAAAUCUCCAGCCCAAUUCAAGAUCAAGCCUCGACGGCCCUUGGAUCGACAUCUACAGUAAGGGACUUCAAAACGCAUCUCCUACACGUGACAAGCACAUGUAUACGACGUGCUUUGAAGUGGGGGCAUUUGUAGACAUCGAAAUUUCGGUAAAUAAAUGUUGACCGAUAAAUCAAAGUGUCAACGCUCAUGUAUUACAUAAAUUUUACACGUAGCGUGUGACUCAACGAAAAUUGAAAUGAGUUGGAAAAGUCAUCAAAUAGGACACGUGUCAACACAUGGCAGAAACGACUUAUUUCAUCUGGGAUAUUAUAUUCAAAAUUAGGCAUUGGAAAAUUCUAUAAAUACAAGCCCAUUUCAUUCAUUUAAAGGGGAAAAAAUUCAUAUUACACCUUGAAGCUCUGAAGCUCUGAAACUCCGAAGCUCUCAAGCAUCCAAGUUCCCGAAGAAUCAAGAAAGCCUUCUUCGUUCUUCGUUCAUCGUUCUUCCAAGAUCAAGCCCCGGCGGCCCUUGGAUCAACAAUCAUCCACCAAUUCAAGAUCAAGCCUCGACGGCCCUUGAAGAAAGUGUUCUUCGUUCAUCGUUCUUCCAAGAUCAAGCCCCGACGGCCCUUGAAGAAAGCACCAUCGUUCAUCAUCCGUUCAUCCAAGAUCAAGCCCUAACGGCCCUUGGGAUCAACAAACGUCGACAAAUCCACACACAUCCAACCGUUCUUCAAGAUUAAGCCCAAAAGCCCUUGAAGAUCUGUUCAUCACUGUUUCUUCAAGAUCAAGCCCAAAAGCCCUUGAAGAUCCGUUCAUCACUGUUCUUCAAGAUCAAGCCCAAACGCCCUUGAAGAUCCGCUCAUCACCGUUAUUCAAGAUCAAGCCCCAACGGCUCCUUGAAGAUCCGCUCAAACCCACCUUCAAAGAACAAGCCCACGGCCCUUUGAAGAAACUUCCAACUGUUCAUCUAAGAUCAAGCCUCGACGGCCCUUGGAUCAACGAAACACCCACCAAUCAACACCUUACAGAGAUCGAAUCAGAGGAUAUAUUUGAGAGAGGUUGUAACCCAAAAUCAUCAAACACAAAUAUUUGUUUGUGCACGUUUGUUCUUGUCUCUUUCGUUUCAGGAAUUUUCCGUGUUCACACAUGUCUUAUUCAUAAUUUUAAUAUAAUUUUUUAUUUGUAAUUUAGAUUUUGAACAAAUAGUCAGUUAGGUUCUACAAGACCGACUUGUUAUCAAUUGCCUGUUCAAUCUCAGCCACUAAAUCUGCAUGUAUGAGUGCAUUGAACUUGGACAGAGAUGCAUACCUUUGAGAGAGUGAAUUGAAUUCCUUUUGCCAUUUUUUGGUUACUUGAAAGGAAUCGAAUCUAACACUUUUUAUAAUCAUCUCACCAGUCAAACAAACCCCUCAAGCUAAAGUUAAUUGAUGUUGCUCAAGUAAGUUUUUAUAUCGGUGUAUGGAUAAACACUCUUAAUAAAUGCGACAAGCCCCUUGCCACUAUUGUUCAAUUAGGUUCACUUACACCACACGUCUUGUACAACUCUAAACUAAAAAGUCAACCCACCAAAAUAUCCAGAGGUGGCGCUACCCAAUGUAGGUCGCCACUGGUUAGUCAAUGGCCGUCAGCUGAUGACAAAUAUGGGAGCCAUGCUUGCACCCACACUUUUAUUUGGUUUUUUUUUUUUUUCCUUAUAUAUUUCGAUUAUAUUAAUUCAACUUGAGCAGCGCUUGUGCAUUAUUGAUUUGGAAACAUAAUUAAUCUAUAUGCCAAAAAUCACAAACCAAGUGGAGGCAUUUUGGUUCUAUGAUCAGGUCUAAAUUAACGAAUGAGUGCGCGGUUUUAUGGAUUCCUUGAGUUGGUUUACAAAAGCCAAGAGCCGGUUCGAUAUUCUUGAGCCUUGGUUUAGUCAUUUUUUACGUUGUCUAAUCAAAUUGAAAUUGAGCGAGGUUGUGUAACUUGAGUACUAAGAUUAUGCACCGAGGUUUUAAGUUUGAUUUUUCUUUCUUCCAUAUAGGUUUUGAACAAAUAUUUAUCGAUUCACAUGAAGUGAUUUUAAGUUUGACUUUUCUUCUUCAUUAUCACUUAUAUAUAAAAAUAAAUAAAUAAAUAAACCCAAAAAAAAAAUUGAAUGUUAACAGAUUUCCUUAUUUAUUUAUUAUUAUUUCCUGUAGAAGUGGCUAUUCUUUCAUUAACAUGACAACAAAUUGGGCUGCCAAAUUGCGAAUUUUGAUUUUUGAAAGUUCCUUUUUCUUUUCCUUUCUUUUGGGUGACAUUCCAAGAAAGCCAGAAGAAAUAGAUGUGAAUAGACUUAUGAGUGAAACUUGCUUGAUCUUAGAAUUUAACAAGCCAUGACUUUGAAUGUUAAUAGAUAUUCUACCCAAGAAAGCCAGAAGAAAGAGAUGUGAAUAGACUUAUGAGUGAAACCUGCUUGAUCUUUAGAAUUUAACAAGCCGUGACUUUGAAAGUUAGUAGAUAUUCUUGGAGAAAAUAAUAAAGUUGUAGACUCUAAUGAAUAUUGUGCAUGCUUAUCUGAUCCAAGCUACAUAGUCAAUCCUGAGGAUUAGGAUAAGAAUAAUACUAUAUAGACUAAGGGCUCGUUUGGAUAUACUUUUAAAAUGACUGAAAAUAUUUUUAGAUAAAAUAUUUUUUGGUUCUAAAAACACUUAAAGUGCUUUCUGCAAGAAGUCAGAAGAAAGAGAUGUGAAUAGACUUAUGAGUGAAACCUGCUUGAUCCUAGAAUUUAACAAACCGUGACUUUGAAAGUUAAUAGAUAUUCUUGGAGAAAAUAAGAAAGUUGUAGACUCUAAUGAAUAUUGUGCAUGCUUAUCUGAUCCAAGCUACAUAGUCAAUUCUGAGGAUUAGGAUAAGAAUAAUGCUAUAUAGACUAAGAGCUUGUUUGGAUAUACUUCUAAAAUGACUAAAAGUGAUUUUAGAGAAAAUAUUUUUUGGUUCCAAAAGUACUUAAAGUGUUUUCUGCAAGAAACACCAGUUAUGUGCUUAUUCUAGUAAGCACUUUAAGUGCUUUUCCAGAGUUUACUUGCAUUUUUACUAAGGAUUAGUUCCAAAAACAUUUUCACCAAAAGCACUUUUAGUUAUUUUAAAAACACAUCCUAACGAUCUCUAAGUGUUUGUUUAGAAGUGCUUUUAAAAUAACUGAAGUGUUUUCGGAGAAAUUGAUUUUGAGUUCCAAAAACAUUUUAAGUGUUUUUUGAAAGAAGCCCCAAAUAUGUGUUUCUUGCAAGGAGCACUUCAAGUGUUUUUUCAUGGUCCAUUUGGAUUUUUACUAAGGAUUAAUUAAAAAAAAUCACCAAAAGCGCUUUCAAUCAUUUUAAAAGUUCUUCCAAACGAACCAUAACUUUUUAUACUAAAUUUGUAAACUAUGUGAUGCACCACCAAAAUAGUUUACAAAAACCACGUCAUAUAAGGAUAAGGCUAUGUAGACCAAAUUGAUGUGUCACCAAUAGAAAAUAAGCACGUUAAUCAAUACUUAAGUAAUAAUUUAAUCACCAACAAAUAUGUUAUUUGAUUUGCAAAUGUAGUUUAGAAUUUAAUUUCUCUAGCAUUACCCCAUCAUAUAAUUUACAAAAUGUGAUUUAAACACAUGAUCUCUCUAACAUUACCCAUAAGAAUAAUAUAUACCCAUCGUAUACGUCUUUCUACUUAUUUCUCAUUCAAUUAAUGGAUGUGUGUCUUUGCAAGUGGCACCCUUAGACCUAAAUUGUAUCUUCCUUAUGGACGUGAUUUCAAAACACGUUUAGUUUAUUUGAAAAACACUUCAAAAAUUCCCAAAUAAAACCAUGCACAUUAUAAAUUUUAUUAUGACAAAAAUGCUAUUUGUAAAUUUCUACUUGGUCGUGAAUGCAAAGGGGGAAAUUUUUUAGUAUAUCCAGAACACGGAAUGAUAUAUCACAUGUCAUCGUAUAAGUGGAAAGAAGUUUUAUUUUCAAGUGUCUCUCAAUUUAUAUAAUGAUAUGUAAUGUACCAAUCCGUAUUUCAAGCACACCUAAAAAAUCUCACCAAUACAGGAGCCCUAUGCCAAAUGUCAUUUUAUUAAGAAAACUUUAACAAAAAGCUCCUGGUACUGUUUAUUUUAAUGAAAAACCAUAUUUUUACACUAAAAAUUCAAUCAUGAUAUUAUUCACUUUACCCUUUAUUUGUGCUUAUCAUUAAAAUUCAAAAUUUUCAAACCAUUUUAAUUAAUUUUUCUUUUUAUUAUUUAUUAAAGAGCAUCCAACAACCAGUCGGCUUGUGAGGGUCCUGCUUCAAAAGCAAGUCCCAAAAACGCGCUUUUGCAUUUUCUGUCACUUCUCUUUCACCACCUUUAGAGCCAAAUGGCAUAUACCAUUUUAUACAACAUCUCUCCACCAUUGUUACUAUUUAUUUACAUUUUUUUCCAACACUAAAUGAUAAUAAUUUAUUUUAAUUCAACUUCCAAUGAAAGUCUUAUAUGUAUCCCCACCCAAUUAAUAAAAGAGAAAAUCUCUAUUUUAGGAACUUUUUGUUCGUUUUGGUAUGAUCUAUUUGUUUAACUUUGGCAAAGAGACCAUAGUGUUAUGCUCAACACUUUUUGCUACUUAAAUGAACAAGAAUUACAGAAACAACUGACGUUAGAACCUCCACCACCCACUUAGAAAAAAUAAUUAUAGCUUAUGAAAUCAUCAAGAAUUUGGAGAGCUCUUAAAUAGGAGAUGCCAAAUUUAACCAAAUGCAAGUCAAGAGCUCUUAAUUAGGAGAUGCCACAUUUAACCAAAUGCAAGUCAAGGUCUGAGUUUGAUCUCCUUUGCAUCCGAAGCUCCGAGUUUGAUAUCUCAUUACUCAAGAAGAAACCAAUAAUCCUUGUUCCUCUCUUACCUUUUACUUAUAUACCAUUCUUCAUCUGUUUUCUCGUUGAAAAUUCGCAGAACUAUCUUUCAACGGUGAUGACAACAUAUUAAACAAAAAGAAAAGAGGGGAGCCCAAGUAUAAUAAAUAAUUUGAGCAACAUUACAAAUAGGAUCUUGUAAAACACUGUCUUUAUAAUAUUUAAAGGGAUGCAGAUAUUAUAAAAAUGAAUCCCAACAAAUUAAAGAAAAUGAAAUAAAUAACAUCUACACUGUCUAUACAUUUCUCUUCAACUCUUUAAAUUUUAUACCUAAUCAAGCUCCAAAAUUGGAGUGAUCUAUAGAGAAUUGAAAACUAAUGAAAAAAAUAUACGAAACGAAUAGUUAUGAAUGUAUAACUGGUACAAAUCAAUGACCGACGCCGGGGCUGGGAACAGACUGCGCCAGGAUCCGAUUUUGUACGACGCUAAGAUGGCGGGCAAUGAGCUUUUCGUUGACGACGACGGCGUGACCCUUCUUGCUUGGGGUAGAAGCUGGCACCUUGCCCUUCGGAAGGGCACUUAGAAACAGAGAAGCCACUUUCUUUUGGUUCUCGGCAUCGUCCUUUACAUCCAAAAGCUUUCUGCUUUCUAGAGUUGACACAGAUGAGGCCAUUGCCACUAAGAAAAUCAGUGCCAAAGCGGUCAGACGAGGCAUGGUAGCCAAGAAUGUAGAGAGGGCAGGAGGGAGGGAGGGAGAGAGAGAGGGAGAGUUGAGAGAUUUGGGAUUGUGGGUUUUGUGCAGGUUGAAGAAAUGCUGAUGGGGGAUUGGUUUCAUUGGGUUAGGCCAUGUAUAUAUAUAGUAGUAGGGUUAGAGAGAGAAAGUCGUGUACCCCGUGGCGGCUAGAGAGAGAGAGAGAAAGAG
rnacentral:lncRNA from 1 species